AUAUAUAUAUAUAUAUAUAUCGGCUCCGUUAAAUAUGAUCUAAACCAUUUAAACUACCUAGAAAUCAAAUUUCACGCACUUUCGAUAUUGUUCUUUUAUCCAUCAAGUGAACAGAAAAAUGAAUGGCUGAAAAUGAAUACUCUUUAAAAAAUGAUGAUAGAAGUCUUGUAAUCAAGAUCAAGAGUAUAGAUCUUGUUUUAAAUAGGUUAAAGAAUUUUCUAAUAAAAAUUCAAUUAAUUUGGAUAUCUUUACGCCGUUAAACGAGAAAACGCUUCAUAUCGACCAUUAAAAUUACAAAAUUUGAACCCUUUGAUCAUUAGGCAAAUGAUGUCGAAAAGAUUUAAAAUUUGAUUUCUAAAUACUUCAAGCAGUAUAGAUUAUGUUCAACGAAGCCGAUCGUCAAUUUGGAAGUUCUAUCACCGAAAACAAAUCGGUAGUAAAACGGCUCGUUUACUACCGGUAGUAUUUUAGCUCAACUCAUAUAUAUAUAUAUAUAUAUAUAUAUAUAUAUAUAUAUAUACUACUAUACUAUCAAUAGUACCAAGCUCUUGGUACUAUUGAGUUUUCGGCCGUUGGAUGAAAAGAUGUGCGGUUAUGAUGAUAGUGGUCCCCGGUCAAAUUGAUAGUGGUCCCCUACGGUUGAGUGGGUGGUUGGCUUAAUAGUAUAAUCUAACGGGCGGAACUGAUCAAAGGGUAAAUCUAAUGGUAGAAAACUCAAUAGUACCAAGGGCUUGGUACUAUCGAUAGUAUAGUAGCUGGACUCUCUCUCUCUCUCUCUCUCUCUCUCUCUCUCUCUCUAUAUAUAUAUAUAUAAUAUUAUAUAGAGUGAGGUACUAUGCUAUCGGAAACAGAGGAGCUUUCCGUGCUUCCAGCUCGUUUCUUCGAUGUUGCGACUUUCGAAUCGUCGAUCGCUCGUUAAAUUUGAUCUAGAGUAUUGGAGUACCUAGAAAAUAAAUUUUAUUAUUUUUCGAAUCUAUUGCCUAGUGAUCGAAUGGGCUCAAAAUCAACAAUUUCAAUGACCGUAGUGAGCCGUUGCAAGUUUAACAGUGUAAAAAUAUCCAAAUCACGUGAAAUUUUGAUAGAAAAUUCUUUGUACUAUAUAAAAUAAGAUCAAUAUCUUUGAUUUAAAUUUUAAUUGUCAUUUAUUACAUUUUGUAAGAUUUUUAUUUUCGCCAUUGAUUUUGAGCCCCUUCGUUCACUAGGCAAAUGAUAUCGUAAAAUCAUAAAAUUUAUUUUCUAAGUACUUCAAAUACUCUAUAUCAAGUUUAACGGAGCCGAUCGACAAUUCGAAAGCUGCAACAUCGAAAUGAGCUAGAGCACAGAAGGCUUCGUGCUUCGAUAGCAUAGUAGCCUCACUCUAUAUAUAUAUAUUAUAUAUUAUUAUAUAUAAUAUAUAUAUAUAUAUAAUAUAUAUUCCGGCUUGGUGCUUGUAAAAGCACCAAGCACUUGGUGCUUGUAAGUUUUUUACCGUUGAUCUACUCAUCGGAUCAUUUCAACCAUAGAUUAUACUAUUCAACAAACCACCCACUCAACCCCAGGGGGCCCACAUCACUCACCGCAUAUCUUUUAAUCAAUGGCUAAAAUCUACAAGCACCAAUAACUUAAUACUUUUAAAAGCAUAGGAGUUGAAUUAUAUUUAAUAUAUAUAUAUAUAUAUAUAUAUAUAUAUAUAUAUAUAUAUAUAUAUAUAUAUAUCCCAAUAAUUGAUGCAAUAAGAAACACUAACACAGGUGACAAAAAGUACAUUAGUUAGUAUUCAAAAGUUCUAAAUUGUAAAUUUAAUUGCUUUUAUUUUAACUAAAUUUAUUUCUAAAAUAAUAAUAAACAAAAUGAUUAGUAUGCUAGCUACUAAUCUUUUAAAAUAAAAAAAAGAAUUAAUAACUGUGCUUACGUGUACAACAAUAUAAUCAUCGAUAAUUAUGUGGGCAUCAGAAAUAUUCUCACUUUGAGAGAUACAUAAAAUUAGAGAUUAUUUUUGUGAAAAUAAUAAUAUUCAUUGCGUAAGCAAAAUUAUUUUAGAACAUCAUGGCCAAUUUGCAUAAGAAAUUUACAAGUUUUGAAUUUUUAUAAAAUUGGACCGUCUUUUUCGAUUUUAUACAUUCGGUCCGGAUUUUCAGUAAACUGAUCCAAAUAUCUUUAUAUUUUUUUCUCCCUCUUUUUUUUUCUAGUCUUUUUUUUUUUCUCUUCGAAGAAGGCGGCGGAGGCGGAGGCGGAGGCGGAGGCGGAAACGGCCAGCCUCGCCUCUGCCCCUCACUCCCUCACCCUCGCCUCAACACCCCCUCGCCCUCCUUGCCUCCAACCCCGCCAAGGCCUUGCCGCGACCUUUUUUUUUUUUUUUUUUUUUUUUUUUUUUUUUUUUUUCUCUCUCCAACCCUCCUCCAUCAUCUCCGCGGCCCUCUGCGACGAUUGUGAGGAUGGUAUUACGUUCUCUUCCUUCACCUUCGCCCUUCACCUCCACUGCAGUAUAUUUUCUAUCCGCCAAACAAACCCGCCGUCCCCACCACCGCCACCGGCUACGAAGAGGAAGUGUUUAUCGGGGCCGAGAAGUAUGCCGGCGAGGGAGGGGGAGAAAAAUUGUUACACUCCGACGAUAGCGGUGGCUGCGAUAGAGAGUAAGAGAGAAAUCGUGACAAAAAAAAUAUAAACAGAAAAAAAAUAAGAAUAAUAAAAAUUAAAAAUUAAAAGUUAAAAAUAUUUUUUUUCCUACAGGAAAGGCCAAAAAUCAUAGAUAAGGAACAAAAAAAUGAAAUUGUACUGUUAAAAAAAAAGUUACACUAUUGUAAAAAAUUUUUUGCCCUGUUUUAAAUAAAAGUUGUACUUUUUGAGACAAAUUACAGUUUUCGAAAUAAGAGUUAUACUCUUUAGAAAAAAGUUGCAUUCUUUGGGUGAAGGGGCAGAGGUGAGGCGAGUCAUUUCUGCCUCUGCCUCCUCCUCCGCUUCUGCCGCCUUCUUCGGAGAGAAAAAAAAAAAAAAACGUGAGAAAAAAAAGAGAGAGAAAAACUUGUUAAAAAUUUAAAUCGAAUCUGCAAAAUCAAAAAAGAUGGCCCAGUUUUAUAAAAGUUCAAAACUUGUGAAUUUUUUAUACAAAUUUGCCAAACAUCAUUAAUUCAGAAGAGAAGAGAAUUACUUAAUAUAUACCAAUAUUGCUGGAGCAUUAUAUCAACAUAUUUUCAUACUGGAAUGAAAGAUCAAAGAUUAAUUUGUUAAUAAUAAAUAUAUAACAUAUGCUUAUGCAAUUAAUGUGGACUUAUGAGAUCAUUUAAUGGCUCCAACUUGUGUUACAUUAUGACCCAUGCUAUCCAUGUGGUUGUAUUUAUAGGAUUAGGAAAUUCAAUAUUAGAUCCAUAAUUUAUUCACAAGUUGGAAUGGUUAUCUCUGGCCAUUACAGCUGAGCUUCCCUUAUGCAAAAAUCUAUAUUUCAUGCCCUCAAUAAAAAAAAUGAUGUGACGACGGACAACCUAAUUAAAAAAUGAUGGACGAAACUAUCAGCCUGCGUAUUAUAUGGGAUGGAGGAGAAAAUAAUGGAUCACUUAUAAAAAUUCAAACUAAUAGAAAUAUAUGUACAUAACAAAUGUACUUAAAGGUACCGUUUGGUUCGGGUAUAAGCAAGAACUAGCUAUUACAGGGAUAGGUACAAGUAUGGGGAUAAGAAAAAUAGCGUUUGGAUGAAAAUUGGGUUGUUCCCGAGGAUAAGAAAAAUAUUAUGAAGUUUUAUAUAGAAAAUGAAGGUGUUGGUGGGGAUAAUCGAGAACUACUAUUCUCGGGUAAAAAAUUAGCGUUUGGAUAUAAAGGGAGGGAUAAGGGCCUAUUCCUAUUCCUGUUCCCAAACCAAACAGUGCCAAAGAGUACAUACAAUUUAUGAGCUUUAAUUGUGACUUGACUCACUCAGUCUCACCCCACUUCAAAAAGGGCUCGGCAUACUCCGGCCUCACGUCAUUUUAAAUGUAUUUAGCCCCUUUAAGCCAACAGAAUUUACGAUAUGAGAAAUAUAAUAAGCAGAUUUAGAGUUAAAGUACUUUCUAAGAGAAAAAUAUUUAUUGUUCUUGUUGACGAUUAAUUAUAAACAAGAUAUUUUCGUCGAUGAAUAUAAACCAAUGGUUUAUAUAUAUUUUUAAUCUUUAAAACGAGGAGGUUUGCUCACUUAUUUUAUUAACUUUUUUUUUUUUUUUUUACAUGGAGAGAGACAGAACCAUUAAUCUUAUAUUUUCAUGUCGGAUCUUUCGAGAUAACGUUGGUGCUAAAUACAACUUAAAUCCACGUACGUUUUCAUAUUUUUGUGUGGGACACGUUCGUUUUCAUAUUUUUGUGUGGGCCAACUUUUUCCAUAUCAAGGGAGGUUGGUGGGUAGGCAACGCCUCGAAUUCGGGACGAAUUUUUAAGAAUUCAAAUUUGAAUCCGACUAUAAAUCCAAAAUUUGAAUCUGAAUUCGAAUUUAAAUUAGAGAGAUUUUAAAAAUUCAUAUUCAAAUUCAACCCAACCGAAAAUUUAAAAUUCGAACCUAAAAAUUUGAACGCGAAAUAAUUAUUUCUUUUUAUACCGUACUUCAAAACAUAUUACAUUAAAUCUAACAUUUUAAAAUACAACUUCAAAUAUAAUAUUAAAUAUUUAUAUAUAUUAUAUAAUGUAAAAUUAAUUCGAGUUCGUGACAGGUUCAAAUUCGGAUCGGAUACAGACAAAAUUUAUAUUCAAAUCCAAAUCCAUCAAAUUUUUAUUUGUUAUAUUUGUUUCGAAACUACAUUUAUUUAGCAUGAGAUAAGUUCCCUCCUUUUGGGUUCAGAUUCGAAUAUAAUUUUAGGUAUCCGUACCCAUCAACAUCUCUAUUGCGAGAUAAAACUUGUUGAUGUGAAACAAUAAAAACCAAAAGAAAAAACAAGAAGUUGGUAAUUAAUAGCCUAUAAAUAGGGCAAGGGCAAAGAAAAGGGAGAAGCAUCAGCUGUAGAGGGAAAGAGCCAGCAAUAAUGGAUGCAAAUAAGAGAUCAGGAAUUGCUCUUCUUGUACUUCUUGUUGCAGUGUCCUGCCUUGCCGGUCCGUCCUCGGCUCGCACCCUCACCGGUCUUGAUUUUCUCGCUCGAGGUAAUCGUCGCGCAACAACGCUGGAUGUAUGUAUCUACAUAAUAUAACAAAAAGUAUUACUGAUAAGUCAACUUUUUUUGUUUAUUAAAAAAAAAGACACUAUCUUGCAUAUAUACUUAACAACAUAUUAGGAGAAAUAAACUUCAAAUUUAGUUAGUUAUCACACUAGUAAUGAAACUUCAGCUACGGUCCUCUUAUGAGAACAUGUCAAGGACUGAAAAGUCUAUAUAUACUUCGCACAUGCAAUAUUCAUGCCUCUUGUAAGAGAGAGAUGAAUGCUAUAUAUUCUAUCUUGUUCUCACUAAAUUAUCAAUAUUCAAUGACUAAAAAGUCUGUAUAUACUAUGCUUGUAAUUUUUAUGCCUCUCAUAAGAGAAUAGUGGUUGGACUAUUAGUAAUGAUAUUAUUUGAUGUUUGCGGACUAAUCAAUCACGAAUGUGUUGCUGCUCUUUCUGCAUGAAGUGAUCAAGGGAGAGAGAGUUACACUAAUAACCUGCAGCGAAUGCGUGUGUCCACUGCAAACAAGUUCAUCUGACGAAGAGUACAAAUGCUACUGCACGGAUACUUACUUGAUCUGCCCGAUCUUUUGCAAGAACUGCAAGGGCGAGCUCGGAGAGUACAUGUGCCUCGACAUGGUCUCGCCCAACCAAUGCCUAACAUCGGUCUCCUCCUCGGAGGCAAAGCAAAAGAUCAAGUUGCUGCAGGGUCGUGAAUGAGUGAAUAAGUGAGCAAGAGAUCGAAGUGCGUGUGAUGCAUAGUUAUAUAAGUAGCAAGUUAAGGGAUAUCGUAACUUGCUAAUGUAUUUGCAGCUUAAAUAAAUGGAUCUUGUGUGAUCCAUGCAUGCAUCUACGUACCUAUCUAUCUAUAAACUAUGCUUCUUUAUGUUCGUAAUGUGAAGCAGAAGAUGUACUAGAAUGGCUUGUUUCGUAGUAUAAAAUUUGUGAUCGUUAUCCGUAUAAAUUAAUAUGUUCCUCUAAUAAAAAUGUAUCUCUUCUUUAAUUACUAUUAAUUAGUAGCUGGUACAUAUUCAACAUGGAAAAAUAGUAGGAUUAUGUCCAUCAAUAAUUUGGUUACGAAUCUAUUAAUUUUUCUUAACAAUACCACUUUGCAACCUUAUGGGAGCAAACUUGUGUAAGCUGUUUAAAAAUCAUGCAAAUAGGUAUAACAUAAUAUAUAACUUUAAUUAAAUGAUUUAUGCUGCACAAAACUCGGUGUAUAUCAUUAAUUGCAUCCAAAAGUCACUUAUAUAUGCGAUGGAAAUAACUAUAUAGCAAAAAAAAAAAAAGAGGUUUAUUCCACGUGUUGCAAGAAAAUUUCCUCUAUAUAUUGAACUGUCACAUGCUUUGGUUGUAGCAAUUAAUUAAUUAAUGGUCCCAUGCAUAAUAGAGUUAUACUAGAGAGAGAGAGAGAGAGAGAGAGAGAGAGAGAGAGAGAGAGAGAGAGAGAGAGUAGUCUACUACUGUAGCAUUAUGUAUAUGGUUCUUUUGAAUCGAUAAUCGGUUCCGUUAGACUUGAUUUAAAGUAUUUGAAAUACAUAAAAAAUAAACUUUACGAUUUNUUGUUUUUAUUAAUAUUGGUACUUUUGAAUCGAUAAUCGGUUCCGUUAGACUUGAUUUAAAGUAUUUGAAAUACAUAAAAAAUAAACUUUACGAUUUUUCGACAUCAUUUGCCUAGUCAUCAAAGGGACUCAAAAUCAACGACUGAAAAUAAAAAUUCUACAAAAUGUGAUGAUAUGAUAUUAAAAUUUUAGAUCAAGGAUAUUAAUCUUAUUUUAUAUAGCACCAAAUUUUUUUUUAUCAAAACUUUACGUGAUUUGGAUAUUUUUACACCAUUAAACUUACAAACUGUUCACUACGACCAUUAAAUUUUUUGAUUUUGAGCCCCUUCGAUCACUAGAUAGAUAAUAUUCAAAAAUCGCAAAAUUUAUUUUCUAGCUAUUUCAAAUAUUCUAAAUCAAGUCUAACGAAGCCGAUCAUCGAUUUGAAAAUUCUAACAUCGAAAACGAUUUGAAAACACGAAAGACUCCGAGCUUCCAGAAGUAUACCAGUCUCAAUAUAUAUAUAUAUAUAUAUGAGUUGAGCUAGAAUACUCUCAAAAGCACCAACCUAGCUAGAAUACUUUCAAAAGCACCAAGAGGUUGGUGCUUCUGAGUUUUUAAUCCUUGGAUGGAGAGAUGUAGGGUUGGGAUGAUAGUAAUAGGUGGUGGUAGUAGAAAUAGUGUUUAAUCCAAUGUGUAUUAGUAAUCAAGGAGUAUUUCCAAUAGCUAAAAAUCUAGAAGCACCAAGAAAUUAAUGCUUCUAAAAGUAUACUAGCUCAAUUCUCUCUCUCUCACUCUUUAUAUAUAGGAUGGCUUAUGCAAUUAAUGUGGACUUAUGAGAUCUUUUGAUGGCUCCAACUUGUGUUACAUUAUGACUCAUGCUAUCCAUGUGGUUGUAUUUAUAGGAUUAGGAAAUUCAAUAUUAGAUCCAUAAUUUAUUCACAAGUUGGAAUGGCUAUCUCUGGCCAUUACGGCUGAGCUUUCCUUAUGCAAAAAUCUAUAUUUCAUGCCCUCAAUAAAAAAAAUGAUGCGACGACGGACAACCUAAUUAAAAAAGGAUGGACGGAACUAUCAGCCUGCGUAUUAUGUGGGAUGGAGCAGGAAACAGUGGGUCACUUAUGUUGGCUUCAAUGAGCCAGUAUUCUACCCUAUGACGGAAGGCCAUGUUGGGUCAAGUAAUAUUCGGAAUGGCGUGAGGUUGGGUGGGCCAGGUCAUGUUCAAAGUGGCGUGAGGUUGGUUAGGACGAGUCACAAUCAAGACCCGUGGGCGCUGUAUCUGUAUACUUUAAGUAAAUUGAUUGCGUAUUCCUAACAGCUCAAGCUUUUGGGAUUAAUGGUUAGCGCCAACAAUCCGACAAGUGGUAUCAGAGCCAGCGUGAGGCUGGUUGGAUCCAGUCACAAUCGAGACCCGUGGGCGCUGUAUCCGUACGCUUUAAGUAAAUUGGUUGCGUAUUUCUAACAGCUUGAGCUUUUGGGAUUAAUGGUUAGCGCCAACGUUCCAACAACUUAUUCAUGUAAUGCGUUUUUAGUAAAUUUCUAGUAGCGAUAGCCUUGGAGGAGAUCUAGCCUAUGGAUCUGGAGGAUGAUGUAGCGGUCGCUUGGGAUAAUUGGAUGUUAAGAUAUAGAACCCAAUCUACUUGUUCUAAACUGACUGGUUUGACAGCAUGCUGGUGGGUGAUUUGACACUCCAAAAACGAUGCAAUCUUUAGAAAAGCUAAUGUGGACUUAUUUGUAGCAGUCAAUAAGAUUAGAUACUUGAAGAAAUUGUGGGAGGAAUUUACGCGGCAAACCAGCUUUAACGAUGCCACCACUCCUCUUUUGUUUUAUUUUUAUUUAUAUUUUUAGUUUUAUUUUUAUUGUUAUUAUUUUUUUUUUUUAUCUUGAUUGAGGUGUACUAUCUCACUUAUGUAGCCUAGUUCAUACUAUAAUGAAUGAAGAGGAUAGUAUGUUAUAUUUUUCUAAAAAAAAAAGAAAAAUGAUGUGUAUGUAUCAUCGACCGUCUCUGUCGGAUAGUAAAAAGUUUUAUAGCUAGUUAAUAUCCGAAAUUUUAAGCUAGAAACUUAGUUAUUUUAUAUUUUCAAUUAAUUAAAUAUAUAUUUUUUUAAAAAAGAAAAAACUAAUAAUAUGUCAUCUUUUUUGUUGCAGAAAAAUAAUCAAAGGAUGUGAUGCAUAUUUGUGUCUUUGCAAUCUAACUAUAUAUAUCAAAUAACAACUAAGAGUCGGAAUAUUGUCAGGAAUGCCUUCGUGGUGGAGAAAAAUAUAUAUCUCAUAACUUGCCUCCGCCUAAAAAUUUAUCUCCCGUAGAUACCCCAAAUUCACUGUGCCAACCAAAUUCCGAAAAACAAUCAACUAUAAUUUGGUCCCCUAGAGUUUAGAGAGAGAAGGUCUUGUAUGUUAUUACGAGUACGGAGGCCUCCGAUUUCAAAGUCGUUUUCGAUGAUGGAGUUUCUGAAUCGAUGAUCGAUUUCGUUAGACAUGAUCUAGUAUAUUUGAAGUAUCUAAAAAUAAAUUUUACAAUUUUUUAAUAUCAUUUAUCGAGCGAUCGAAAUGGUUCAAAAUUAAUGGCUGAAAAUAAAAAUCUUACAAAAAGUGGUGAUAUAGCACUAAAAUUUUCGAUAAGAUAAAUUGAUCUUGUUGUAAAUAGUAUAAAUAAUUUUCUAUCAAAAUAUCAUCUGAUUUGAAUACUUCUACACCAUUAAACUUACAAAAAGUAUAUAUCAAUCAUAAAAAAUUGUUCAUUUUGAACUCUUCGAUCGCUAGAUAAAUGAUAUCGAAAAAUCACAAAAUUUAUUUUUUAGAUACUUCAAAUAAGUUAGACCAAGUCUAACGGUGCUGAUCAUUGAUUCGAAAGCUUCAUUAUCGAAAAUAGCUUAAGAGUACGGAGGCUUCCGUGCUUCUAAUAGCAUACAAAACCUACUAUAUAUAUAUAUAUAUAUAUAUAUAUAUAUAUAUAGAGAGAGAGAGAGAGAGAGAGAGAGAGAGAGAGAGAGAGAGUUGAACUCCUAUGCUUUUAGCCUUCGAAUCGCCUUAAGAUCCGUACAGCACUAAUAAAGGGGGCUUAAUGGGAUAUACUGUUAAUAGUGCUACAUGAAUCUUGAGGUAAUCCGAGGCUAAAAAGUUAGAAGCACAAAUGCUCCUAUACUUUUAAAAACACAUGAGCUCAACUCUCUCUCUCUCUCUCUCUCUCUCUAGAUCUCUAUAUAUAUAUGUAUAUAUAAUACGACUGGGGUGCUUUUAAUAGCACCAAACACUUAGUGCUACUUAGUUUUUCACCUUAUCCUUUUGACUAUUUUUAUUUCUUAAAUUAUACUAUUCCACCAACCACCCACUAAUCAAAGUGCGCCACUAUCAUCCUAAGUCCACCAUCUCCUACUCUGAAGGCUGAAAACUCAAAAACAUUAACGACUUAGUGCAAAGUAGGAGCAUUACAAUCCAAUUCUAUAUAGUAAUUAAUAUAAAAAUAAAUCUCAGAAUAAAUUUUAAUUAUCUUUAUUAUUUGGUUAAGAUGAAAUAAACUUUAAUUAUUAAAAAAAAAUUGAGAAAGAGGUAGCUCUGCUUCAUUCAUUAAGCCAAAUUAACUAAGCGUACAAUAUGAAAGCAGUUAGGGCCUCCGAGGUGAGCCAAACAGGAAAAACAGAAAAGAAGGGGGAAAAUGAAAUUAAGAAAAAUUAGAAAAGAUUAAAAAAUUAAGAAAGGUAGAGGCGGUGCGGUUAGGGUGGUGAGGGUGGUUCAACCCAGGAUUUCGUCGGAAGAUCCGGGCGCUCGAAAGCUCGGGUGACGUUGGGGGUCUUCGAGCGGAAAAUAAAGUUAUUUUUUUCCGUCCACAUGACCCAUCAAGUAGCCGCCAGGGAGGUUUGAGCUUUCGAUCUUUGCGCUGUGUCAGUGAUAGCAGAUAUUUUGUUCCAAAGGACCCGAACACUGUUCGAAUCCUCAACAGAUACAUCGGCCCUGAAGAGUAAGAAGCGCGUGAAGACGCAGCUGCUGAAGAGAUGGUCGCAACUCUCAGUAGCAAACGCAUAGAAUACAUAGUGAUCAUCGACCUGCAUCCCACGGGUGAGCAGUCUAUCAGCAGUGAGUAGUCUCUUGCGGAGUAACACCCAAAUGAAGACUUUGAUUUUGAUUGGAAUUUUUAAAAUCCAUAUGUGUUGGUACUCUUGUGUCCCUAAGUGAACUACACAUGUUAGAAUAUCACUCUAAUGAGGAGCUUGAAAGUGAACACAUCUAAACACAUACCUUCUUUUGUGAACACACAAACUGGUAGAUAUUUAAAAGCUUUUCAGGACAACAAUAUCAUACUACACUGGACAAUAAUUCAUAAUCUUUUGACAUAAAGUAAAUAACAUUUGUCCCUAUAUAUAUGUACUAUAAAAAUCAAGUUUUGCAAUUUUUAUAUCAUGUCUUUCAAAAUAAGGUUGGUAAAUAAGUCCACAUCUUCCUUGUCCGUCCCUGAUCAUCAACAGUGUACAGAUUUUGAAAAAAUGGUUUGCAAAAACAAAAUUUCCUAAUUUAAAUGGUAAAAACGUCCGAAACAAAAUCAUUUAAUUUUUCAAAAUUUUAAGUUUAUUACUUAAUUUUUUUUAAUUUGUUUGAUUUUAAUCAAUUCACAGUUUUUUAAAUUUAAAUUAUUUAUUCAUUUUUAUAAAUAAUUGUGAAAAUUAUAUAAAGUAACUAAAGCUAUGAAAAUAAAAGCUACUUUUAAAUUUCAAAGUCAAAGUGUUGUUGACUGAUUUGAAUCAAACAAAUUAAAAAACUGGAUAGUAAAAUCAAAAUUUUGAAAGAUUGAAUAGUCAACGAAAAAUAGUCUAUAGCUCAGAAAAAAUUCGAUAUUUUUUUACCAAUUUAAAUUGCGAUCCAUGCAUGUUAUUCAUGUAGUUAUAUUAAUUGAUACCAUUAGGAUCAAUAAUUGUAGCCCUAUAAAUAAGGCAUGAGAAAAGAGAAGGUCGAAGCAUUAGCAAUAGAAGAAAUGGAGGGAGGUAAGAGAGUACGAGGGUUUUGUGCAUAUGAGACGAAAAAGACUAUUGCUGAAUCUUUUAAAAGGAUGUUGAUAUAUAAUGAUAAGCUGGGUUUUGUGCGUAUGAGAACUAAUGAUCGAGUUAACUUUUUGAAUUUCGACACCUAGCUAAGUUGCUUGCAUGGUAUAUAUGGAUAAGUCAUUCACUCAUUCACAAUUAUAACAAUAGCUUUGCAUAACAAUUUCUUAUAUCUUUAUUAUGUAUGUCUUAUUCUUUCUGAAUGAAGUGAUGAACAAAGAGAGUGCUGCAGCAGCGAAGUGAGUGAGUGCGCAACAACACUGGCAAGAGCAAAAGAAGUGUAUGUGAUGUUAGCAAGUUAUGGACCAUCAUAACUUUGCUAAUAUUGUACCGUAAAUAAAUGGAGUUUGUGUCAUCCAUCUAGCUCUCUGCAUAUCCUAUGCUUAGUUGUUGUUCAUGCGCGUGUCAACUUGUACUAAAAUGGCUUGCUGAAUAAAUUUUAUGGCCCGUCUGUUGCUCUGAAUAAAUAUUCUCUUCUCCGGUAGUUUGCAUACCUUCUUCAUUUUUUAUUUUUUUUUCCUAAGAUGCAAGUAGGCUAUAAUAUGUAUAAAUCACACAUACGCUCUUCACUAACUUCGAUCUCACAAGUAGUAAUUAUCGCACGUGAGACUUUUACAUACCUAUUCUAAUCUCAUGGUUCAAAGUGCUUUCUCCGCCUUCUGUCAUUACUUUUCUAUUGUAUUAUUUAAGGAUGUAACAUAACUAAAAAGACUUUUUAACAAAAUUAAAUUUUUUUUAAAAAAAAGACCAGUCGAAUUGGUUCGGACUAGAUCAAUGUUCACGGGUCUAAACAUAGCGGGUCUAAUUGGAGACCAAAUGCUCCACGAGAGAGGCCAAUUCGACCAGAACUGGGUCAAGUUAUAUUGGAUCCAUUUUGGGCCUUGCAAUUUAGGCCCAAAUAUAGUUUUGGUCUUUCGGGAGGCCCAAUUCCCUACAAACUGAAAUCACUUUUUUUUUUUUAUUACUAAGGCUUAGUUUAGUAUUGAGUUAUAUCUAACGCUUUUAGAUAUGGGAUCGCAGAAAAUAUAUCGUAAUCGACUAAUUGCGAUAUGCGGAACGUAAUAUUACGUAAAGAAAUAAACAUGAUAUUUUUUUAUCCUAUUUUCUCAUCGCACGUAAUGCAAUCUUCCUGCAAUCCCUUCUCGCGUUUUGCUAUUCUAUAAUUUUGUUUCUAUUUACGGAGGUAUUUUCUAUUAAAUAAAAUAGCAAAGCCGGUAUAUGUAGAACUUCUCUACAAAAUCAUAAGCACUAAAUUGGGGCAUUUAUUUUUCAUGCUCAUAGCUAGUCCUACUGCUAUUUUUUUUUAGUAAAGCUUUCAUUUUUUUUUUAAUUUAUCAGAUAAUUUACUAUGGAUUGUUAUUUCUGAAAAUAAAAGAAGCAGCAUACAAAAAUAGGUCUCCUUACAUGGCCUAGUUUGAUAAUAUUGUGGUUGAAAGUAGCAUUUUUAUAUUACAAAUAGUCCAAAAUUUUCAAAAGCCCUUAGAACUUUUUUAAUUACAAUAAUUUUACAAUACAAAAGAAGAAAAUUUUGAAAAUAUUUUUAAAAUUUCUGAACUCUCUAUAAUAUCUAAAAAAAAAUUAAAGUUGUCUUAUAAUUCUAAUAAUUUUUUACGGCGGAUUCGAGCACCGUGGCUCUAGUAACUACGCGUUUUAGAAUAUCACUCUGGUAAAGAAAAAAUUCUGAAAUGCAAUAAUUAUAUUACUGAUGUGGUAUUUCCAAUUAGUCAAAAGACUCUCCUAAAUUUUAUCCAUCCCAUCAUAAUCUUUUAAAAAAAUAUUUUAUUAUACUUUUUUCUCAAAAGAAAAAAUAUAAUUAGCUAUGAAUAGAUGAUGUGGUGUAAAUGUUAUACAACAGGCCUCCUCCUAAUAAAGAGCUUGAAAGUGAACACAUAUAUAUAUCUUCUUUUAACCCAAAAAAUCAGGCAAAAUGGCAAAGGGCUUGGUAGUUGGUAUUCGACGUUCCGAGUUAGAAUCCUAAUUGAUUCACAUUUUCAGCUAAGCUUAUUUCUAAAUGAAAUAAAUGAAGCGGGUUGCAUGCUACCUAUUCUCAAAAAAAACACACACACACACACACACACACAUACCUUCUAUUGUGAAUACACAAAAGGCGUGUUUAGUUCGCUUCUUUUUCACCCUGGAAUCGGAAUCGGAAUCGGUAAAACCGUUUGUGGGUGUUUGGUACGUGGAAGUCUCAUUCCGAUUCCAAUUCCCGAGUGGAAUGGGAAUCCCCCGAUCACCUCUUUUUUCAAUCCGGUCUAGGAGGCCGGAUUGAAAAUUGAAUCUGGACGGAAUAGAUAUUUAUUCGGAUUAAAUUUAUUUUUUCAACUUUUUAAAUUAAAAUAUGAGUUAAAAUUUAAAAAUUAAAUAUAUAUUUUUAAAUUUUAAUUUUAACUUAAAUUAAAAAUUAAAAUUUAAUCAAGUAUUUCAAAUCUAACUUAUGAAUUUGAAUUUAAAUUAAAUUUUAAUUAUAUAAAGUUUUAUUCAAAUUUUAUUUCAAACUUAAAUUAAAUUUAUGGAUUCAAAUUAAAAUUUAAAUUGUAAUUUUAAGUUUGAAUUUGAAUAAAUUAAAAUUUAGUUUCAUAUUUUGAAUUAUCCACUCAACUUCAAAGUUUAAUUUUUUUUAAAAAAAAUAGAUUUAAAAUUUUAACAUUAUUUCAAUUUUUUGAUGUAAAUUUUUAAUAUUUAACUUUUAAUUUGAAUUUAAUUUAAUAUAUUAUAAAGAUAAUGUUAGUAUAUUAAUUUGAUUACGUUUUUUAUAUCCACCUAAACCAAACACCGACGACGGGAAUGAUUUAUUCCGAUUCCGAUUCAGGUGAUGAACCAAACAGAAUUAGGUAAUGAGUCAUUCCGAUUCUGAUUCUAGCUUAUUUUGAUUCCGAUUUUGAUUCCGGCUCCGACUUCGAACCAAACACGCCAAAGUGGUAGAUCUCUCAAGAGCAUUUUAGGACAACACUCAACUAUGAUUGUACUGGACAAUAAUUCAUAAUCUUUUGACAUAAAGUAAAUUACAUUUGUCCCUAUACAUAUGUACUAUAAAAAUCACGUUUUGCAAUAUUCAUAUCUAUCAUGUCUUUCAAGAUAAGGUUGCUAACUAAAAUGUGUCAAAUAAUGUCCACGUCUUCCUUGUACCCCUGCCUAAUCAACAUACGGAUUUUGGAAAAAUUAAUGGUUUGCAAAAAAAAAGUUGCUAAUUUAAAUGGUAAAGACAUUCAAAACUUGAUUGACAAGAGAAUAAUAUCGAAAAAAAUAUAUAAUUUAGUUUCUAAAUACUUUAAAUGAUAUAAAUUAUAUUCAACGGUACCGAUCAUCGAUUUGAAAACUCCAUCGGUGAAAAUAAAUAAAAUAAGUGACAACAGAGCUCGUUUGCUACUAAUAGCACUCCAGCUCAACUCAUAUAAAUUCGAUAUAUAUGUGAUUACCAAUUUAAAUUGCAACCCAUGGAUGCUAUUCACGUGGUUAUAUUAAUUUAUAGGAUUUUAGGAUCAAUAAUUGAUGUAGCCCUAUAAAUAAGGCAUGAGAGAAGAGAAGGUCGAAGCAUUAGCAAUAGAAGAAAUGGAGGGAGAGGUAAGAGAGUAGGAGUUGCUCUUCUUGUGCUUCUUGUUGCAGUGGCCUGCUUUGUGGACCAAUCCUCGGCUCGCAGCCACCCCGGUCUCGAUUUUCUUGCUCGAGGUAAUUGUCGAGUAAUGCCGUAUUAAUAUGCAAUAUAUAACCUUUGUAUUUUUUAGAGAAAAAGAUAGUAUGUUAUCUGUUUCAUUCAUUAAGUAAAAUGAACUAAGUUAUAAAAAUGAAACAGUAAAGCUUCAAGGGAAACUGACGGCAGUUAAGCGACAGGUGCUUAAGACCAUUAGACCCACCACAGCUUCCAUGCACGUCCUAAUGUUCCAAUGACCUCCGGAAUGUCUUGUAACACUGAUCAAAUAUGAAACGAAAAAGACUAUUGCUGAAUCUUUUAAAAGGACUGAUAAUGAUGACAAGCUGCUGGUCUUGUGCAUAUGAGAACUAAUGAUCGAUCUAACUUUUUGAAUUUCGACACCUAGGUUAAUUGCUUGUUCAUCGAAUGAAUAAGUCGAUCAUUCGCAAUAAUUAUAACGAUGGCUUUGCAUAACGAUUUCUUAUAUCUUUUUGUAUAUAUGUAUUAUUCUUUUUGCAUGAAGUGAUGAACACAGAGAGUGCUGCAACAGCAAAAUGCGACCUCUGUAUUUGUUUGAUGAUAUGACCGCCGAGGUGCUACUGUAUGGAUCAGUUCGACUGCUGCCCUUCCUGGUGCAAGAACUGCCAGGAGCUGGAUGGAAAGUACGUUUGCCGCGAUGUGAAUCCCGAUCAAUGCAAAAAGGACUCCUCCUUAGACACAAAUCAUAUGAUCAAACUGCCUCACGGUCAGGAGUGAGUGUGCAGCAACACUGGAAAGAGCAACACAAGUUUAUGUGAUGUUAAUUAGUAAGUUAUGGACCAUCAUAACUUCGCUAAUAUUGUAGCUUAAAUAAAUGGAGUUUGUGCCAUCCAUCUAGCUAUCUACAUAUCCUGUGCUUUAGUUGUUGUUCAUGUAUGUGUCAACUUGUACUAAAAUGGCUUGCUCAAUAAAAUUUAUGGCUUUUGUGUUGCUCUAAAAAAAUAUUCUCUUCUCCUUUAGUUUGCAUACCUUUUAUUUAUUUUUUAUUCCCCCCCCCCCCACUAAGAUGCAAGUAGGCUAUGAUGUGUAUAAAUAACCUAGGCGUCAUGGACACUGACACGUGAUACGGAACACGACACGACUCGAACACUGCGACUCGGCAACUUUCAAAAAAUUAGGACGCGGACACGGCAUAAACACCACUAAUAAAAUUUAAUAUUAUUAAUAUGAUAAUAUAUUUUUAUUGUAUAUAAAAUAUUAAUUUGAUAAAAUAUUAUUAUAUUUCUCGUACGAAAGAAAAUUAGUAAAAUUUUUAUUGAUAAUUCAUAUAUUUUAAGAAAAAAAAUUUCACCAUACUUAAUUUAUCUGUAUUAUAAAAAAAAUCAUAUACAUUCAUCAAAAACUAAAAUAUUUAUUUUAUUGUACAUUACACAUGCAUAGAAAAAGUAAAAUAAAAAUAGAUAUAUAUUUUUUUUAGUUAUAUACACUAUGAAUCGACAUUAAACGAGCGUCCGAGGAGUGUCCACAUUAGACACGUGUCACGUGUCCGACACGGAGGCUUAUAGAAGUGUCCGUGAUACGUAGUAAAUAACACAUACGCUCUUCACUAACUCUGAUCUCACAAUUUGGGAAAGAGGUUACGUAUUGAAUAUGCUACAUAGAAGUAGUAGUGAUUAUCGCGCGUGAGACCUUUACAUACCUGCUCUAAUCUCACGGAUCAAAGUGCUUUCUCCGCCUUUUGUCAUUACUUCUCUAUUGUAUUAUUUAAGGAUGUAACAUAACUAAAAAGACUCUUCAACAAAAUUAAAUUGAAAAAAGACCAGUCGAAUUGGUUCGGACUAGAUGGGUGUUUACGGGUCGAAACAUAGCGGGUCUAAUUGGAGACCAAAUGCUCAACAAGACAACAAGAGAGGCCGAUCCGACCAGAACUGGGUCAGGUUUUAUUGGAUCCAUUUUGGGUCCUGAAAUUUAGGCCCAAAUAUAGUUUUGGUUUUCGGGUCACCCAUAUCAGGCCCGAUUCCCACAAACUGAAAAAACUUUCUUUUAUUACUUUGCUAUCUUUUUUCUUUUCUUUUUUUUUUUUGAGAUAAAUGUAGCACGCUACCCGCUUCAUUCAUUUGAAAAAUAAAUUCUGCUACAAAUGUUGAGGCAGCAGGGCCUCGAAUGGAUCAAACAGUUAGAUAAAAAGAAAAAAAGAAAAAAAAAUACAUAAAUAAAUAAAAGUAAAAAAAUAAAAAGUUAUUUUGACAUUCUUUGAGUGUAUUUUUAUUUUACUGUAAGAACCUCUGCUGUCAAAUAGAAAAAUAUAGUUAUAAAGUGAAUAUUAGUGGAACUUACUCUACAAAAUUAGAAGCAAUAAAUUGGAACAUCUAUUUUCCAUGCUCAUAAUUUUAUUUCUAUUUUUUUCACUAUAAAACAGCUAUUUAUUAGCGACUAAUAUUUCUAAAAUUAACAGGCGAGGAAUAACUAGGGAUUACACUUUAUUGAGGAUGACUAGCCAAAAUAAUACGAUCGAGCAAUUAUGGCAAAGAACUUGAUAGUUGGUAUCCGAGAUCUCAAAUUCGAAAUCUAACUGUUUCAUAUUUCUAACUAAGUUCUAAAAAAAAAAAAAAAAAAAAAAAAUUAAAUGCAUACAGGUCCCCAUAAACACAGUAAAUUAUAAAUAUAUCCUAUAAAGUUCAACUUUUAUAUGUGUCCAGAAAAAAAUUCUAAUAUUUUCAAAUAUACUCCUCUGAUUUGUUAUCGUUAGAUAACUAUUUAUAUUUUCAAUUUUGCCAUAACAAAUAUAUCCUUUCAAAAGCCACAACAAUAUAAUAUAAAAGAUAAAAAUAUAAAAAACUAAUCAGGGUUGAGUAUUUAAUCUAUGGUUAAUUAAAUUUUUCUAACGAAUUCUAACGGCAGAGACAUAUUUGAAAACAUUAGGACUUUUACAAAAAUAACAUAUAAAAGUUGAAUUUCGUAGGAAUAUAUUUGCAAUUCACUAUAUUUGCAGUGACCUAUAUGCAAUAAACCCUUUUAAGACAAUAUGUUCGUCGCAAAUGUAGCUAAGGUUUAGAUUAGGAUUAAUAGAUACUUCAUCUGGGUCAUAAGCUUAAUUAUUCCUCUAUGGAAUGCAAAUGUCAUCUAUCUAUAAUAAGAGGCUGUGGAGAUAAGAUUGAUUCAAGAUAGGAAGAUGGAGCCAAAAGCAAAGACAAGUAUGUAUGGAUUGUUUUGUAUACAUGUUUGUGUGGAUUAAGCCAAUGACAUUGAUUUACUCUUUAGUACAUCAAGCCAUGUUGGCUCCAAGAUAAUGAUAUUAAUUUCUGAGAGAGAGACUUAAUUUCUUGUACAGUGAUGGUCAAAUAUGGAUGGCUCUACAUUUUUUACUUUUGGAUAUAUCCAUGUACUAGAAUAUUUUGUUGUAGAAUAGAACAAAAUAUCUUUAGCACCUAAUCUAAAGAGAGUGACAUUAAAUUGAGUGGCCGAUAGGCGAUUACGUAAUUGACUAUCUGAUGUGGAUUGCAUUAUCUGCAGAGGAUCUUUCAAAUAAGUGUAAUAACUUUACAGUCCACAGCGCUUACAACUUUCUCAUUUUUGGGGGAGUCGUAGACCGAACGAUCUCUUAUCUUUAGAAACUAAAGGUUCCCCUCAGGAUGAAGCUUUUUCUUUGGUUGGCCUCAAGGUAUAGGGUUCUAACGGCGGAGAUAUUGUCCAAGCGUGGCUGGCAGAGACCGCCGAUUUGUGUUCUAUGUUGCAAGAGUGAAGAAAAGCUAGAACACAUACUGUUUGAAUGCUCGUUCGCAGUGAGCCUGGGGACCAACCUACUACAGGGCAUACCGAACACUAAGCACACCCUGUUAAAUCAACCCGGAGAUCUUUCGGCCAGAUGGAUUCGAGCCAGGAAUUCACAAUCGGGACAAGCUAAAAUUAUUUUCGAUCUCUGCUUCGCUGCGACUUGUUAGGAAAUUUGAAAAGAAAGAAACUCUUGAAUCUUCGACAAUCGUGUAGGGGGAAGUGGAGGAGUGGGUAACAAAGUUUUUUCCUCUGUAUUACUCUGGAACUCUACUUAAUUUGUGAUGAUAGUGAGCAUCAAGGGUGUGCCCACUCUUUUGUGCUCGACUAUCCGCAUGUGAUAUACUUCCUCAAAUAGGGUCCCCCUGUUUAAUCAUACAUACAUAGCUAUAGUUGGCUGACGGUUUGAUGGUUCGUAUUCGAAAUUCACAUUUAAAAUAUAUUUAUUUUAUAUUUUUAGGUGAAUUUAUUUUUAACUAAAAAAUUAGCGAAAUAAAUAGCAUACUAUCUUCAAAGAAAGAGAUUUUCUUAGUUUCAUAUAUUUUACACGGGUAUAAUCAUAUACAAUGCAAAGCAAAAGGUUACUUUUUUAAAAACAACAAAGGAGAUAUGAACGUGUGUUGAAUUAAUCUUAUUUAUGGACUUAAUUAAUGUACUGGUACCAAACAUUGACUUUUACAACUUACAUUAAAAACCAUUUUUUUUUUUUACAAAAAAGUCUUAUUAUGCAUGCCUUUUAACACAUUAAGUUCACUUCGUGAUUUUCAAAAUCAUUCUAGAACGCCUUAAUUUGAAAGUAGUAAUAUUUUUCGCCCUUUCUAGAGCUCAGUGUGCAAAAAAGUAAAAGCACUUAUUACUAAUCACUGUUGUAAUUAAUUUACUCCUGUUCUAUGAAGAUAUAUAUAGAAAAAAUAGGACUAUUUAUUAGCGCGUUAUAAAUCAGCAUCGAGCUCUUUAUUGCGAAAUCUUUAUAAUACAAUUGCUUGUAUAAUUUCGCUACAUGAAUCAAAUCAGCCUUACACUGACUUUCUUAAGAAAACACUUAACUUGCACAUGUUUCUAGAAUAACCCUUCAUUUUCUCUAGUUCAAUUGGUAGAAUGAAAAAUCGCAAGUCUUAAGACGAAUUAAGCUACAGAUACAGCGAACAAAACGCGCAAAAGUUCCGAAUCGCAGAAGCCGAUCGAUCGACCGUUAAAAUGCCUUAGGAGGCAUUUGUUGAUUUGCUAAGAAGUGUUUGAAAAGCGACAGAGCUUGUCUCGGCUUGAACUGGGGGACUUCGUGGCCAGCUCCGCGGAUCGUAACAAAUGUUAGCCCUUCGAAGAUUACCGUCCACCCUCCGACCUGUGCAAAAAUGCGCGCGAGCAUAAGUAAUUCGUUAUCCUAAGUUUUUCGCGAAAAAAAAGAGAAAAAAAGGGCCUAGAAAUUAAUUUUACUUAAAAAAAUAAAAAAAAAAUCACGGGGCACAUGCAUGUACCUGCUCAUAGUCAUACCACGGCGUCCACUCUAGAAUAGUUUGAAGGCCAAGUUUGCGGAGCGUGUAUCUUGUUGACGUGACUGGGAUUCUUCCAUCAGUGUCGCCGCUGUUAAUUUCAACGAAUAAGAAAAACAAACCAACUGCUCUAAAUAGUGCUGAUUAUAUAAACACGAGAUAGAAACUACCAUCUAUAUUUCGAAGCCAUAAUAUAAAUAUAAUUAUUAAGCAUUACAUCAUUAGAAUUUAAUUGGUAAUGUUAAUUAUUAAGUUAUGUAUGUUAAAUUGGGUUGUAGUUUGUCGACUUAAAAACCUAUACCUGUAAACCCACACCCUGAUUCCGCCGUCGAUGAGCUUCCGAAUGAUCGGUAGCAUAGACGCCGGUGCAUCGUUCCAUUGGUUGAUCGCAUUGCUGCAAAUAAAAAAUAAAAAUUAAGAAAGGAUUAAGUUAAAUUCGAUUCAAAAUUGUGAGAAUUUAGGUUUGAAUACGGAUUUUUAGACUAAGCUAAGAUCAAUAAAUUCCGAUCCAAACACAACUAAAAUGUGUUAGGGUUAAUGGAAUAGCACCUGCAGUGAGUCCAAUUGUAUCCAAUAUUCGUAACAUUCGCGUGAAGUGCUUCUUGAACAUCUUUCCUAUUGAAGUACACCUCUGUAUAGUCCGACACGCAGGGAUCGUAACCCGCAGGCUUCUUAAACCACUCUUUCUGCAAUACGUAAACAAAAGCUAAGUGAGUCGUGCUAUCAGUACGCACUCUACGAUACUAUCCUUGUGGCCUGCUGAUAUGCUGAUAUGCUGAUAUACUUACAAACUUCGAGAAGAGCUUAGGGGACGCGCCCUCAAUCCAAAAGUGCUUAUUCGUUGCAGAGGCGGUGGACGUGUUCUCGACGCAGACGGGGGAGUACAAGCUAUACAUGUCGAUGAUAUUGUAAACGGCGAAGUACUCGUUCAGCGCAUUGUUGCAGGCAUUUGUAACAUUCACUUCGCUGAAGUUGCAGUUCGUUUUUACGUCGUGGUACACUCGAUCGGAUAUGACGGCAUGAUCCCAGGCGUAGUCGAUCAUUCCGUUCUGAUCAGUGUCGUCGUCCAUUAACGCGUUACCUAUCUGCUUAUAAAUGAAUCAAGUAAAAAAAUUGUGGUUAAUUAUUAGGAUAAUCGCUUUUUGAGAGAUUAAUUUAACCAUUUUCCUAAUUUUGUACAUUCAUUAUUUGUAAUUUGCAAAGAUAAAUACUCAUAAGCCAUAAUCAUCUUCAAUUAGGAUAGUGUAAAAUUACCAUGAAACCCUUGAAAUUGAUAUAAUUCUCCUUAGGGCCACUUUUGUUUUCGUCGAAUAUCAUCUCAGAGAGUUCUGGAACAUAAUGUCCUAAAAGGAGAAAAAAAAAAAAGAAAAAAAGAAGAUGAUUUAAGUAAAAAAAUUAACCACAAAAAUUAAAAAAAGGGGUUAACUUAAUUAAUUAGCUAAAUAGAGAGUAAUCUCUUUAAUUAAUUACCUCCAUAGCUUUCUCCAGCAAUGUAGAAUUCAUGGGACCUGAACUGUGGAAACCUCUUAAACCAAUUUACAAGGAAUGCGUACGAGUCCUCGGCUUUAAACGACGGAAAAUAUAAAGCGUUAACGCGCGAAAAUAUUAUCAAAAUUUACUGCAUAAAUUUGCUAAGAUAAAUGGAAACAUGGUUAUUAAUUAAUUGUUGUGUAGGAAUUACCUGUAAUUUUGUCGCCGAGAUGAAGCAAAUCGGAGCUUGUGUUUGUGUAUGAAAAUCCAACACCAACAGGAGACUCCAAAAAAAUCAAAUUGGCCUCUAAAAUUAUAGAGACAAAAAUUAUUAGGAUCAUGUAAUCCAAUACUUCAUUGUUACUUAAUUAGUUGUUAAUCAGGGUGUUUUUUUUUAGGAAAUAUUAAGCUAAGUACUUAAGCAAGGUAUUUUUGCAUUGAAUGUAUGAAAUAGGUGAUUAUGAGUUCGACAUGAUUCGACUAUGCUAUCUGAAAACUAGCUCUGAUAUCAUAUCAUUCAAAAGAUUCAUAGUGUAAUGGACGAUUCAAAAAUAGUUAUUUUUUUUAAAAAAAAAAAGUUAAUGCGUGGAAAAGUUAUAGCCUUUUCUUUUAGUAGGUUCUCCAAAGGAUAGAUAUUUUCUCAGCAUUUUUCUUUUCUUUUUUUUUUUUUGAAAGGGAAAACCACUUGGCCUCUCAACACCUUUUUUUUUUUUUUUUUUGACUCAAAGGGAUACAAAAUAUUCAAUCAUUUUGAAUNUAUUAACCCCACUUUAUUCGCAUGGGCCAUGUUAAUAAGUCAUUAAACAAAUGGUCUUUUAUUAGGGAGUAUAAUAUUUUCACAAUUUUCCUUUGACUCAAAGGGAUACAAAAUAUUCAAUCAUUUUGAAUAUGUGGUUAGUUGAUUAGAAAUUGUAUAAGAUCUCAUACUCCCUAACAUAGUCAAAGGAAAAUUGUGAAAAUAUUAUACUCCCUAAUAAAAGACCAUUUGUUUAAUGACUUAUUAACAUGGCCCAUGCGAAUAAAGUGGGGUUAAUAAGCUCUCUAUUUGAGACAUUGCAUUCCAAUAAAAUAGCUUUUAUGUUUAAUUCAAAAAAAAAUUGGUGCACAUUUGGCACAGCUAGAGCUUUUACAAAAUUAGUGUUUUAGUCGAAGUUCUGAAAACACACUUCUAAAUUUUUUUUUUCUUUUUUGAUCUAAAUUCCCCAAACAACUUCUUGUUUUAGAAGUAUAAGAACUUUAAAAUUAAGAUUUUCCUUUCAAUUUUUGUUGCCAAACAUUUCAAUUCUAGAAGCCAAUUAAUUAUCAAAGCAUGCAUAUAUGUUAUGGACAUAUGUAAUGAAUAUGAUAGAGCAUGUCUAGAAUAAAGUUUCUACUUAACACACAUACAUAUAUAUACAUUUCUUUUUCUUUUAUCUAUUUAUUUUUCAAUAAAUUAUAUGUAAGUUAAAUGUACAUAGUUUGUAUAUAUAUGUGUCUGUGUAAUUAAUAUGUUUAAUAUGAUCAUAAUAAUAUUAAGUAACCUUGCCUUUGUUCCACGAGUACUUGUUUAAUCUUAGUUGGGGCACCCCUUUUUGCAUCAAAAGAGGCCCAAGCUCCUCUGCUUCUCCAUACCCAAUAGAAGAACAACCAGGUCCUGUAAUAAAUAAAAAAUAAAAAAUAAAAAAAAGAUAAAAUAUCCAUUUAUAUAAAUUCAAAAAGAAAUAAAAAGAAAUAAUGAAUUAUCUGAUUACCAAAUCACAUCAAUUAAUGAAUUAGAAAAGUACAUUAAACUAGCGAGAUAUCGACCUCUGAAAAACUUGGUCAAUUUGUGUUCUUCUAAAAGGUAUAAAACACACCACAAUGCACCUAACGUGCACCUCCUUAUCAACACAACUAGUUAAAUCAAUGAGCCGCCUACAACGCACAUGUCCGAUCACGGCCUAAGAUCUAAAUGCUUCUAUCUCCUCUUUCGCUCUCUAAAUAUUACAACUAUUUCAACACAAGGUCGUCGUUUUCAUUAACUCUAUCUCAACGGUAACAAAUAAAGAACGCAUUGAAAUUGAUAGUGACAUUGAACAAUAGAAGAUGAGAUCAAUGGACUCUAUUUUCGUAUCCUAGCUACUUGAUAUUCUUUCUAACUUGUUUGGUUCAUAUUUUCGCAUUUUAAUUUUGAAAAAAAAAAAUUUGUGAACUGUAAUAACUAAUAAUUAAUGAGAACAUAGGGACCAUUUUACAUAUUCCGGGUCCUACUUUGCUAAACGAGUACAAAUAUUUUUCAAAACACUUUGGACCCAAAAUAUCAUCCUUUUCUCAAAAAAAAGAUUACGCAUAUUUUGGUGCUAAACAAACUUUGCAGCUUGUAAAGGUAUUACAUAACAUAAAAUUUAUGUACACGAAAAUUAAGAAAUUAACAACAACAAUAACCAAAUGAGGCUUUUAUCGUCACAUCAAAUGAUUAUUACUCCAUAGUACUAUUCUAUUUUCCAUAUAAAGAUGUGCGUUUCGUGGCCAUUAAAACUAGUCACGUACCCACAUGUGGCUCAUUAAAGCAUGAUAUAAUUUCAACAAAAUUAAUAAUAGCAACCAUAUAUAGUGAAAUAAACACUAUUACUGGGAAAGGUUCUAAAAUUUUAUCCAAAAAGAUAUUCUCAUCACAAAGCAAACAACAUAAAGGUCAAGCAAUAGAAUGAAUACAAAGUUACAAACUAGGAAAACAAACAACGCACGCAAUAUACAAAUAUACGGGUCCAUUUGCCCCCUCUUAUUCUUUCUACCUAUGUAGGGUACAGUAUUAUUUAAUAAAGCACGAUUUAAACACUAUAAUUAUAGAAAUAUUACGUCAAACGUUUUCGACUGUUUCUUAUUCUCUUUGCAGUAGAAUGAGAAACUCUAAAUUGAAACAAAAUCAUGUGUAUAUUUAAUGAAUAUCAUAAACUACCUACUAAAGCUGAAGCAUAAUCACAUAUGUAUUCAUAAUUUUACCUUUUGCUACAAAAGAAAUUUAAAAUUAAAACUUUUGUAUUUGGUAAAUAUUUAUAACUGUAGUUAAAAGUAGGAACGUGAGAGGACCAUGGAUCUCCACGCGACCCUACGUUGUCGGUGUGAGAGACAUAUGUCUUCUUAUGUACAGCCUCGCGCACUAAAAAUUAUUGUGUGCACCGAAUGCAUUAGCAAAUUAUAUAUACCAUUCAACUAAAAUUUCAUAAUAGAGACUUCGAAAUCAGAACUUAAGGAUAUAUAUGUUCAAUGAUAAUUAAAAGUCCAGCAUAUCAAAAAUGGAAAUUUUUAAAUUCAUAUUUUUACUAACCCUUUCUCUAGAGAUGCAUAGGUAAUAAAUUUUUAAAAUAUUUGCCUUUUUAUUCUCUAUAUAUAUAUAAAUAGACUCUUCAGAUGAUAUUAGUUAAUAGUAUAAUAAUGAAUUAGAAUUGCACCAUGCUUGGAUGCCCCAAUAUGUUAUCAAGUGAUAUUUUAUUCUGUUGUGAUUGAAAGUUAAGAGUGUGAUAAUCAAAUGUAUAUAAUGAAAUAGCAUAUUCAGCUUCAAGUAAUUAAUUGUUUUCAGAAUAAUAUAAAUUAUUAUCUCCUAGGUAUCAUAUGCUAAUUAAUCUAAGAAACCAUGAAUGCAAAUGUCUUUUAAGAAGUUUUAAAAAAAAAAACUCCUAUCUUUAGUAACACAAGCAAAUUUCAUGCCAAAUAAUUAAGUUAAUUAUCAUCAGAUAACUUAUUCUGGUAUGGAAACAAAAAACUCAACUUCAAAAAUAUAUAUCAUCAAAUAUUAAGUGCGGUGCACAGAGUGAGCUAGGUGCAGGCAAUAAUUUCUCCUUCUCUAAUUAGUGGCCUCUAUUUGGUUUCUCUCAUUUGGAAAAGAAUAUAAUUAAUGGGUUAACUAAAUUCGCAAUUUACUUUAUUAUUUUUAAAAAAUAUUAUAAAAAAGUUUAACAAAUUAAGUGAUUUGAUUAAAACAUAAACUAAAGUUUAAUGACUUAAUUGACCUUGAAUAAAACUUUACUAAAAGUUCAGCGACCAAUGGUGUAAUUAUUUGCUUAUUAGUUUAUCUAUAUAUUUGAAGAAAAAUAGGGUGACCUAAUUUUAUCACUGGACAUUCCAGCUAUGAUAUUUGAUGAUGGUCCCCAACCAUCCUUGUUUUGAUAUGUAGACACUGGUGCAUGAAAGCGCCACAUCAACCAUUUAUUAUUUUACAUCUAUAGGCCCUCUCUCUAUACAAAGAGUACUAUGGUCCACACCUGUGAAUUAAUAAUAUGCAUAUAUAUAUUGAUUAAACCUUCUUUUAAUUGAUCUUGUAGUGUGAUAUGAUGAUUAUUUGAUCCUAAAAAAGAUCACACAACAAAGUGACAAAGGGACUUAAAGAGCAUAAGUGCUAAAUACAUGCAUGGUACUAGUAAUGAGAGAGAGAGAGAGAGAGAGAGAGAGAGAGAGAGAGAGAGAGUCAAACAUGAAGCUUUGCGUAAAAUGUUACCAAAAUUUUGUAGAUCCCGGAAAAAAGUUGUAUAUAUCUAAGACCUCCACUCAUUCUCUGAAAACAGUUGUACUUGUGAUGCAAAAUGACUAAAGAUUAAACAAAGUAUAUAAGGUGGUCAAUGUUGAACAAUAAGUUUGUUUUCACAAUAUUAUUCAACAUGGCAUCGAAGCAAGAGAAUCUGAUUAGUGUGUUGUUUUGUUUAAUUUGCACCCAUUUUAAUUCAAGUCCACGCCACAUCUCUCUAUCAAAAAAUCUCGACCGCGGGCAUGAGAGAAAAUGUUGAAUAUAAAUAUUAAAAAUAUUGUUCUCUCGUACGUAUGUAGUUUAAGUUUUUGAAAAACAACGGUUGUAUUUCUCAUAUGUAUUUUGUAUGUUACUAUCAUCGUGCAAUAGUGGAGGAGCCCUAGGGAGUGCUAAGUCAGUAACCUGAUAAAUGGACUACACAUUUUCGAGUUUGAAUGUACACAACCCAUUAGUAGAACAACUAGAGCUUAAAACAUAGCCAUCAAAUUAAAGGCACCAUAUGUACACUUCUCUCUAGCUUUCUCUCUCUUACAUUGACAAUUACCUUGCAUCUAUCUUGCACCAACUUGAUUAAAUUCACUUUUUUUUUCCUUUUUUGAAUGGAAAAUUAACUUUAUUAAUGAAACACCAUCUAUAUAUAAAUAUAUAUCUACCCCUUUUUUGAAUGGCUUAUGAUUCAUGUAACUAACAUCUUUAUAUCUAUCCUAACUAGUUGUAAUUCUAACAAACCCAUUAAUUCUCUUUGUACUCUUUCUCAACAACAAGUUAUAGUAUCAUGAAUAAAGGAAAACAAAAACAAACACAAAUACAAAAGGAAAGAUGGAAAAAAAACUAAAGAAUGGUGUAUGGUAUAUAAUUGUUAUGAAUUAUGUGAACAAAACAAGUGUAUAUAUAUAUAUAUACCUCCAUUGAGCCAUAGAACAAGAGGCUUCUUCUCCACAUCAUGAGAGACCUCAAAGAACCAGUAGAAGAGCGCGCGGCCGUGGCUCUCGUUGACAGUCACGUACCCCGCGUACUGCUCGAAGUUCACGAUCGGCUGGCCCGGGAGUCGGAUCACGCGAUCAGCAUCUUGUUGCUUUUGGACCUCAGGGUCCAAUUUGUAUGACUCAACAAGAGCCAAGUAAGAGGAAAAGAGAAGGAUACUAAGGAGGAAACAAGAAGGGAUAGAGAUCAAGGCACUCAUUUGGAGAAUUAUUGCUGGUCCCAAGGGUUCUUCAAAUGACAAGGGGAGUGGCUUUAGCUAUUGUAUAUUUAUAGCAUAAGGGGGGUGGACCCUUGUAUGUUAAUAUAUAUCCCUCUUAAGCUUAUUCGAUUGCACCAAAGUUGCUUCUUCUCAUCCUUCUUUUCCUCACAUUUAUAUAGGACAUAGAAAAAAGAUUCCUUCUCUUUUCUUCUUUUAUUUUGUUUUUGCUCUAGUGUUCAAUUUGUUUCACUAAGUACAAAAAGAAAGCCUCCCUAAGAUGAUGUGCAAAUCAGGUUAUUGUUUACACUUGGUGUAUUGGUGCGCUCGAAAUUUAUGCACCGUUAUUCUAUCUGCUAUUCUUUUCAUCUCAUAUUUUCAGUUCGAUCAUCUAAUUUCUAAAUAAAGAAAAGAUGAUAAAAUUGGUACAUGAUUAAGAUUAAAAUAUGAGAUCGACGGAGAGUUAAAUGACUGAUGUGUGUUACCCAGAAAAUAACUCUAAUAAAAAAUAAUUUUAAAAAUUAAAUGAAUCAUGUCAUGUGCAUUGACAGAAAAGAUAACUUAAGAUAAGAUUAAAAAAAAAAAAAAUUAAAAUAUAUACUACAAAAUAGCGAAUGUAAAAAUAGGGAUCUUAAGAUGAGUUAUGAUACGAUGUUAUCAAAAAAACUCAAUGUAUAAUAGAAAAUGAUUCAAAAAUAGUGUUAACGGUGCGCACAGAUGUACAGAUAUAAUAAUUGCUAUUUAUUUAGGAGAGUGGCGGGUCAGAAGAAGGAAGAGAAUGAGAAAAAUGAGCCAACUGAAAAAGCUGCACCAGAAGCUACCAAAAAAACAAUUUAAAAUCCCAAACCACUCUGUUUUUGGACUUGACUUCAUAUAGAUGGAUGGUAUUCUUUUGACUCUUUUGUUAGGUUUGGGUAGUUGUAUGCGUUUCCUUGCAUUGGUGGGGCACCUCUUUAUAGCCUCAUGUUUUGGAGGGCUUCUUUGUUAUUGAGAAGCAAUUAAUUAAUUAUAAGGGUUUUACAAAUAAGAUGUCUAAAGCUAGUUUGAUUAUUUUUCAAUGUUUUAUAAAUAAAAAUAUUAUGUGAUUAGAUGAGUUUUGUCACCAUUAAUUACCUUGCAAUGCAAUCUGAUCAGAUAUCAAAAAAUUAUUUCUUUCUUAGAAGAAAUUACCUACCAAACAAACUUGUAAAUGCAUAGACUAAUUAUUUGCUCAUUAAUUCUCUACAAUUAAGCCCUAAGUAAAACGACCCUUUCACUAGCAAUAAAAACUCAUUGUGCUCAAACCAUCAGCUCAAAAUGUUUAAACCUAAUUAUUAUUACUAGUUUUCAUGAUCUCUUAUAAACCCAAUAACAAUCUCAUUUUCAUUCGAUAUAGGACUAUUGGGGUGUCACAGACUUCCCCUGCUCUAGUCCUAACGUCGUCGUCAGUCCAAUAACACACAGUCCAAAAUCACCAAACGUUGUAAGAUUUAUCUCGCUAGCCUUGUCAUUCCGGCCCUAAUUUAAUCUUUCCCUUGUUAUUUCGACCCUGACUUAACCUAUCACUCCGACCUUGACUCAGUUAAGACUCAUUUUACGCUUCUAGCUAAUGAUUGGCUCUGAUAUCAAGCUUACAAAACGGAUCUCGAGACAUGACUCUAAUUUAUUUUGAAAUCCUAAAGUUAGAAGCGCCUAUUGCGCCAUGGAUAUAAAAACAAUGUUGUAAACAGAGCUAGUUUUGAUAUCUACAGAUAUAUUCAUUUUUUAAAUUUGCUUACCGUUCUCAAUUAAAUUUAGUCAUAUUUUUAGAUUCAUUAAAUCUGAAAUAGUCAGUACCACAGAUUUGUUGAUACCACUUUUCCGAAAAGAUAUUAGGAAUUUCCAGUCAAAAGAUUAUGUAAUAAACCUGUUUGUGAAUUCCACUAAAGACAACAAUAAUCAACACUGAUUAGAAGCUUCGAUAGUCCUAAAUGGUCCCCAGUGAGGCUGGCUUUUGUUUGUUAACUCUAACUAAAUAAAUAAAUAAAUAUUUUAACUUUAAAAAUACAAUUUUUACAUUUUUAUAUAUAUAAGCCAAUACAUCAAUAAUUUAUAAAAAUAUAUUAGAAUUACGAUAAAAAAAAAAUCCCCAAUUUGUUUUCGUACGGAUUUUCAUGUUGCGUAUUGCCUAUACUGUAGUAAAAGUCGAUAUAUUUUCUGCAAUCUAAUCACUAGAAAAAUAAAAAAAAUAUAUAUUUUAUAUGUUUUUGUUUUAACUCUAUUUUGUCAAGUAUUACCAAACUAAAUAGGCCAUAAAUAACAAGGAAUUUUGGAACGAAACAAAGAAGCUAAUGUCACGUUUAGCUGGAAUUAAUUACUGGCUUUGACCAGUAGAACGAAUUUUGAUGCACAGUUCGCAGUGAUAUCGCGUAAUAUGCGGAUACAGGCAUACAGCAAAGAUACAAAUCCUUAAUAUUUCCCUCACUAAUAAAUAAAUAUAAGGGUAUAAAUAUAAGGACCGACGGUCCCUAACGUAAGUGGUAAAAAGGCUUAAUAAUUGGUAUCCGAGAUUCAAAUUCGAAUCCUAGUUGAUUCACAUUUUCAGCUAAAUUUAUUUCUAAACAAAACGGAUAGCAUAUUAUCUUUCUCUGUCAAAAAAAAAAAAAAACAAAAAGGGUAUAAAUACUUUUUUUUGUGACACGCACCUCUCAGAAACUGCCAUGUGGAAAAUCCUCAUAAAAUUGGCUUAUUAGCGCCUACUUUGUUUUACCAAUGUUUGCACAGCUGAACAUAAUUUUUUUUAAAGAGCAAUUACUUAUAUACUCUUGAAAAGUUUCUGACUUUUCAAUUUACCAUUCUUAGAAGGCUAAUAUUAAAAAUAUCAUUUCUAGAUUUCAACCUAUUUCUAAUAUAUCCGUAAAGUUAAAAUUUGUUAAUUAACUCUGUUAUUUCUGUAAGAUUACUAUUUUGCCCUUUCAAAUAUACCCUUCCAUCAUCAUUAACUUUCUUAUUUGCCCUUAAAGUCAUGAGCAUAAAAAGUAUUUUGACUUUUAGUCUUUUCCAAUAUACCUCUCUAUCGUCAUCAACAUUUCUUAUUUGCCCUUAAGUUAAGGACAAAAUUGGUAUUUUAAUUUUUUUUUAACUGUGAUAGAUAUUCAACUCACGUUUAACCCAAGUAAACUUAAUAGAAGAUAACUGCGGAGGUAUUUUGCAAUAAUGGUGGUGAGGGGCAUUUUAGAAAAAAAAAUUAAGUAGAGAUAAAUUAGAUAUUUUCAAACGUAUAAGAAGUAAAUAGGCAAUUAUCCCUUUUUUUAAAAAUUAUCUUAUACUAUACAUAAAAGUACGUACUUCAAAUUUUAAUAUGUCGACAAACUUAUUUUAAAUUUUAUUUUCAUACGCAAAAUAAAUAAAGUAAAAAAAUAAACUUUUGGUUCCUCUUCUUUUUCAAACUAUUGAUAUUUUAUUUUUUAUUAAAUAUUUUUAUUAUUAAUAUCUUUUUUAAGAUAAAUAUUUAUAUAUUAUGUCUAUUCUAUCUACUGAUAUUUUAUUUUUAUUUUAACUUUUUAAUUUUGAUACUUUUAUCUUCUAAUAGUAUAUAAUAAAUAAAUUUACUUUUUUAAAAUUUAAAUUUUAUAUAGUAAAUGUUUGAAUAAAUAUUAAUUUGAAAUAGUUAUAAAAAUAUUUAUAAAGUGCAUUUGCAUGUAUACUCAACCAAUAUAUUAUUUAACAAACAAAAAUAAAUAACAUAAAAGUUAAAUUUUUUUAUUGUUAAUAUUCUUUUAUUUUUUUCAUAAUUGACUUUUAUCCGGAAAGCACCAAAGUUAAUUAAGUUAUUUUAAGUAGUUCGAACUUCGACCAAAGAUAAUAUUACGGUAAAUCAAAUAAUAAAAGUAGAUAUUUACGGUCAAAAAUAGCUUCACUUUGGUCUACUUGAAUCAGAAUAAUAAUAAUGGAGAGUAAUUUAUAACUUUUAAUACACACUAACUAAUCUCUGUUCUCGUAAAUUACAACAAUUAAUAAAUUAAAAUAAAAUAAAUAUUUCCAGGCUAGUUACCAAAGAACACAAAAUGUAAAUAUGGGAGUAACGAGAACGUUAUGAAAACGAUCACAUAUGAAUCCAUUAAUAUAUGACAUAUAUUAACUCAUUGACACAAAAAUUAAAAUUAAAAAGAAAAACAAAGGAGCUAGCUCGUGCAAUAUUGACUUGGAAAUUUGUGGUUCAUGUUCGUGAAUAAUAUGUUUUACGUGGAUAAAUGGGUACCCGUUCAUGUAAAAAUGGUCAAUGUUUAGCCACGAUCAUAAUUAAAAAUAAAAGAUAACACAUCAUAAUUAAACCAAAACAUAUAAAAAAAAUCAAAGAUCUUCAAUUUAUUAAUGCAGCAAAUAUCAAUAUUACUUAAUAUAAUGUAACCAGAAUUAUAAUUACAAAUAUUUUUCUUUGAGAAUUAUCAAUAUUUUCUUCAUUAUUUAAUUUUUGUUUCAGAAAACGUGACCCACCAACUAAUUUGGUAUAUAAUACCUAAAUAUCUCAUUAAUUAUAAUUACAAAUAUUUUUCUUUUUGAGUUAACCUCCUAUUUUAUUUUAGUAUUAUUCUUACUAAUCAUGCUUCUAAAAUUCCAGCACAAAUCACGAGGCCACACGUGCUCUUGAGCGGUACACGUUAACCACUCCCUCUUGAGUUGUAGGAUGCUCACAAAAAAUUUAAAAAUAAUGUUUUGUUGAUUACAUUGUCGAGCAUACAACUCAUAACUUAAUAUGAUAUCAGAAUAGAAUAUUCUAAAUUCGACUAAAAUUCAACCAGAAGAUUCUAAGUUCGAAUCUCUAUCAAACUUCUAAUCUCAUUUGAUUUUUCUCCCAUCAGAUUCAAGUUCACUUCUUGAGCAUAUCAAAAUAUUUCGAUCCUAGAUAUAAAGAAGAGUACCGAAUAUAUACAAUAUUAAAACACUAUUAUCCGAGUACUACACAUAAUUUAAUAUGAUGAUGAAUACACAAUAUUAAAACACGGUUCUCUAAAAUUUGCACAUAAUUUAACAUAACACAUGAUGCAAAAUCCUUGUAACAAGAGAGUAAAUACUAAAUAAAACAUCCUUGCUAUUGACAAUGCCUGUGGGAAUAUGUCAUUAUGCUGCAAAAAAACUGGUAAAAAUCGAGGAAAAAUAAAGUAGAACAUACUAUGCAACUAACAUUCCCUAUGAGCUGUUUGAUGCAACUAUGCACCUGCAAUAAUAAUGCGAGAUCAAACCAUAAAUCUUGAUUGUCACAUUGUAGUUGUAUCUAGAUACAAUAAUUGGACUUGCAGACGAAACCUCAAUCUCUGUAUCGCAGGCAAAAGCUCAAAUGCAGACGAAAGAUCAAUCGCUGUAUCACAUUUAAUGUCUAAAUAAAUAAAUAAAUUAGCAAUAUGUCUAAACACAGCAGCUGGAGAGAUGAGAAACCACACAGGAUUUCAUGGAUGUAGCAGUUCCAGCACUAUAAAUUUCGGAGUUUCAGGAUCCUGUGCAAUAUAGCAUGUAUCUGCCUAAAAGUUGAUAACAAUGUCUAGGUAGGAAAUCGGUUUGGAUUCGACAAAUGCCUACUGAUCCAUUGCCAACAUAGCUUGAGGUUUCAAGUUCAUAUGCAGGAAAGGACGAGUUUCUUAUGGCAGGCAAAGCGGUGGCGGGAUCCCCACAAAAUUAAUAUAGUGGGACGGAAAUCGAACUUCUGUAGGUGUUUUUAUUUUCAGGGCAAGAUCCUAUCCGCCGACAAAUUGUAGAUGUAUGGCUUGUUAACAGUUCAGUGUAAGCGCGAACAGAUUUUCCCCUUCAAUGGUUCCAUAGAAUCUUUCAGGAGAAAAAAAGAAGUUUCAGACAAUCAUGCGCAACAAAAGUUCCGUCUCACGCAUUUUUAUUCAGGCUAACAAGAGAAAUGCAGUCGGUCCUGUUGUCAUGAUUUGAUCAAUAUCAUACAUAUUAAGUUUGAAAGCUGCUGCUUACUUAUUUCUCACCUUAAACAGUAAGAAAUAUAUUGCCGCAGCAAUCUCAUAAUUGAAAACUCUUUCACACAAAACAAUCAGCAAAGGCAAGGCCGAAAAAGAAAUACCAGGUUCAGGUUUUUCCAGGCAUCUCUGUGUGACAUACCUUGAUUAGCAGCAGCAGCAGCAGCAGCAGCAGCAGCAGCAGGAGAUAGUACAACAGUGAGGUUAAUUUAAUACCAUUAAUCUUAGCCCCAUCUCCUUCUAUCUUCUUCUUCAUCAACCGGGGUGUACCACUCCGGCCGUCUCUUCGAGUUGCUCAACCUGUAAUUCAAGAACACUUCUUCGUCGCAAAGAGCCCUUGUCGCAACCAGCACGAGCGUCUUUAUAACAGGGCCAUCACCUUCUUGAUCACGAGAACCCCAGGACUUAAACCAGAAGGUGCCGAAUCUCUUCAUCGCCACGCUCUCUUCACCUCCAAACACAAGGUUAGGAAUAUAAACCCUCAUGUCCUUCUCACUCAGCGGGAAAUCAUAAGGGCAGACCAUAGCGUUAGGGGUGGUGCCCUUCGGAGGGUGGUUCGCGAAAUGGCCAAAGGCAAGCGGGUUACGCCACUCAACAACGUCCCCACCAUCCCCCCUACGAGCGUCCUCCAAAGGCUUACUUAGCAUUCUCCACAUACGAUCAGACCGCCCCUCAAUAUAUUCAGAAGGAUUUGGCUCGUACUCGGGCUGGCUAUAACCAUCCCAAACUUCUCGGGUUUCACCGCCAACUCCCCAAGGUUGCGCAUUUAUAACAAUCCCGUCAUACCUUGUGAUCAAAUAAGAAUUCGAGGCAUCGAUUCUGGGAUAGCCGGGGAUAUAUCGGUAGUAAGCCGGCGAAUAAAUUACUCCGGGAUAGAAGGCAAGAACAGAUCCGACUUCAGCCUCCCCAGAUAAGAAUAAACCGCGACCAGCAGCCUUGUGAGGAAUUUGAGAUUGUUUGAUUUCUAGGGUGUAGCCAAUACUAUCCCUCAAACUCUGCGAUAACUCACGGUGAGAUAAUGGCCGCGUCGCAGGCACAACUGUGCUGCAAAGAAACAGUAGAGGUCAGGGCAGGAGAAUCCAGUAGGUCUCACUAGUUUCCUCUGCAUGUGCUAUUAGUUCAAUAAGUUAACAACAACAAAUCAAACGAAAAACACAUCUUCGGACUAAAUAGCAACAUUCACUACAAGAAAAUCAACAUGUAAGAACGUUUUUUUUAUAUUUAACAAUGCUUAAAAGCAUUUCAAUAUAGUCCAGCAUCACAUUUGAAAGCGUCGACAAAUGAAAAGUCGCCACGUAUAUACCGACGUUUAUGCCAAGCGUCGGUAAAAUAUAUUCUGACACUUUAAAGCGUCAAGAAUUUUUAGGAUUUUUUGAAACCCUAAUGCUUUAAAGUGUCAAAAAUUUUUAAAAAAAAUAGUAAAAUUUAUCAUUUAAUAAAUUGGUUUGAUACAAUAGAGUGGUCAUAUGAGGCACUUUUUGAAGCGUCGUAUUUGCUAUAUUAUAGGGACGCUUGAGGAUGCUUCCUUCAAGCGUCAUCUAAAAAGCGUUCUUAUAUUAAGAUUUUUUUGUAGUGAUUCUACAUAUGAUUAUUUAGAUUUCAUGAUAGGAAUGCCAUUACCAGGUUUGUUAGCAGACGCGCUACUACCGAUAGCAAAACUCAAUCCACUACGUCGAGAACCAUUCUGGGAAUCUGGAACUGAAUUCGGUGUAUUGCGGUCCGUAUCAGGACGAAGUAUGCUAUCCAUCGUCUGGGAUAUGUUCUUAAUUUGGAAAUGAACAUUUUCCUGGACUUGUCUCUGCUGAUCAGAAACAGAUGCUUUGCUUCCCAUCUCAAUAAUCUCAUCUGCGUCCUUCUCAUCCGCAUUCUUUCCCAAACGAUUAUAGCUGGAAUUUAACAUUAGAAGAGAUUCAAAGUAAAUCGCAUAUGCGAUUCCGAAGAAUUAACAGCGUAUUCCGUUCCAGGUAACAUUUAAGGAAACUAAUUUCAAAAUGAUCGCCGUAGGAAAUGCACUAACCUGGUGUAAAGAAACAAACGAUUAACAUCAGCUUCAAACUGAAGAUGCCGUGGAUCGCGAGCGAAUGCUCGACUCUUUGCGAGAGAUUUAACGGCCUGGGAAGAACAAAACUGGGAUGAUUCCAUAAAAACAAAAAUUUUAAAAAAAAUUAAAAAAAUUUCUUUUCGAUGCAGGAUCGAACUUGAAAUCUGUAAAAUGUCCUGUUACGGAAACUCUUACGGAUCCAAACAAAAUUUUAAAAAAAAAUUUAAAAAAAAAAAACAUGGAAAAGUGGAAAUUUAGGAAAAGAGUAAGGGGGAGUUACCUCUUGGAACUUGUGAAAGAGGAAGGCCAUGGCGUAUACACUGGAGCUCUUCCAGAAGCUUCUCUCGCCGGCGCGGUGACGAAGCCGAGACCCCUCGAAACCCCAACAACACUACACCUGCUCAGAUCGAGGGAGGGUUUUACGCUGAGCCUGGAAUGGGCCGGGUGGGCUUAUUUUGAACCCGGCCCGGUUUGAAAUUUUCGCAUCUGAUUUUUUUUUUUUUUUUUGGGAAAAUGCUACGUGGCAGUGCACAAACUAUUAAAAGGUGUAAAAAAUAAAAUUUUUAGUAUAAAAAAUUUGAUUUGAGAGGAUAGAGCAUAUGAUAAUAAUGAUAUACAAUUAUUUAUAUAUUAUUGGUGUACAUGUUAAAGAUACGUCUUCUAUUUUAUUGACUUAGUCCAUGCGCUCAGCCUAUGAAAUAAUAGAGAGGAUAUCAUGCGGAUUCUCAUUGUGGAUUCUAAAUUCAAGUUGUAUGUGAAUUAGACCCGGGCCAGUUUUCUAUGCAUUACUCCUAAUUCAAGUUUGACUAAAGCUAAUUAAUUAGAUGCCCCAAGUGCAUGUCCGUACGGCAUGAGAAGGUGUCGCGGCCUCGCAUACGAUGUCUAGAUCGGAGUCGGCAGCGAAGCAGAGAUUCUCGACCAAUUGAUUGAGCGAUUUUGAUUUUUUGAAGCAACGGCAUAAAAAUUUGUUGUCAGAGCUUUCUAUACUUUUCUAAUUUGGUCUUCUCUGUUAUGAUUUUAUUUUUUUUUUGAGAAAAAGGUAGCACGCUAUACUUUUCUAAUUUGGUCUUCUCUGUUAUGAUUUUAUAAAAAGCUUUUUUCAGUGAUUUCUUUGAGUUUUCGUUGGAAUAAAAGAAAUGUGGAGCUCACCAUAAGACUCUUAAUUUUUAAUGAGGAGAAAAUAUGAGGUGUAAACUUAUGCUUCUAUUUCGUACAAUGAAAUACUCUAUUUCGCUCUCCUCGUGGAUGUAGACAAUUUCCAAUUCUUUUACCGUUCAUUCGACUUUUCUUAUUUUUGUGCAUCUUUAUUGACAGCGUAUAACAGACGAUCCACUCGGUGCAGUGAGUUGGUACCCCAGAUAGUCCACGAUGAUUAAAAAGUGGGUUUUGGAGUGGGACAUGUGGACUCGCUGGAAAAAAAAAAAAAAAAAAAAAAAUUUUUUUUUUUUUUUUUUUUUUUUCAUUUUUAUACGUUACAUUAAAAAGCGAAACUUGAAAGCUUCAUUAAAUCAAAACGUCGGUUCUUGAGUUAGUUUUAAUAAAACUUAAAUUCUUGAGAGUUUAGUUUUAGUUUCGUAAUCAUCGUUUUUUACCCUGAGAAAAAACCAGAGAGUUCAUUCUUAACUUUUCUAGAUUCUUUAUUAUUAAGAGCCGGGGCAGUACUAAAGAACCGGUAAUUAAAACCUCCGAGACUCUUUCGUGUUAUUUACCCUAAUCCAGGUAAACGUAUUUUUCUUCCCCUUAAAAACCCCCUUAAAAUUCCGUUUAAAAAGUAUGGUUUUAUGGUCAGAGGCUUUUAAUUAAGAUGUUUUUUAAAUUUUUUUUUAACGAUUAUAAUAGAGAAAAGUACAUAGAUCUGAUCUGAUCUAUCUCGACUCAAUCAUAGUGUAGAAUGUAAUCACGUGAUCGUCUACUUUUUAUUUUUUAUUUUUUUCUUCUUCUUCGAUUGUUUCUAAACUUUAAUUUAUCUGUAUUCUACUUUUAAGACUAUUUGAAAGUCUAGGAUGGAGAAACACCAGCUUAUUUUGUUUUCUUAACAAACCGCUUUUAACGUUUUUAUCAUAGAUGGAUGAGAAAAUUUAUAUAUAUAUAUAUAUAUAUAUAUAUAUAUAAAUUUUCUCAUCCAUCUAUGAUAAAAACGUUAAAAGCGGUUUGUUAAGAAAACAAAAUAAGCUGGUGUUUCUCCAUCCUAGACUUUCAAAUAGUCUUAAAAGUAGAAUACAGAUAAAUUAAAGUUUAGAAACAAUCGAAGAAGAAGAAAAAAAUAAAAAAUAAAAAGUAGACGAUCACGUGAUUACAUUCUACACUAUGAUUGAGUCGAGAUAGAUCAGAUCAGAUCUAUGUACUUUUCUCUAUUAUAAUCGUUAAAAAAAAAUUUAAAAAACAUCUUAAUUAAAAGCCUCUGACCAUAAAACCAUACUUUUUAAACGGAAUUUUAAGGGGGUUUUUAAGGGGAAGAAAAAUACGUUUACCUGGAUUAGGGUAAAUAACACGAAAGAGUCUCGGAGGUUUUAAUUACCGGUUCUUUAGUACUGCCCCGGCUCUUAAUAAUAAAGAAUCUAGAAAAGUUAAGAAUGAACUCUCUGGUUUUUUCUCAGGGUAAAAAACGAUGAUUACGAAACUAAAACUAAACUCUCAAGAAUUUAAGUUUUAUUAAAACUAACUCAAGAACCGACGUUUUGAUUUAAUGAAGCUUUCAAGUUUCGCUUUUUAAUGUAACGUAUAAAAAUGANNNNNNNNNNNNNNAUAUAUAGUUUAGAGAGUUGAAUUGGAAUACUAUUAAUAGUAUUUGAACUUUUUUGAUAUUGAUUUUUUAGCAGUUAGAUCUACACUUUGAUCAAUUUUAUCAUUUAGAUCAUACUAUCUAUCUAAUUACUCACUCAAUCUCAGAGGGAUCAUUACUAAAGCCAAGGGGACCACUAUCAUUCUAACACUAUAAUUUCUUAUUCAGGAGUUAAAAAAACUCGAUAACAAAAAAAGCCAAAUACUAUUAAUAUUAUUUCAACACAAUUAUAUAUAUAUAUAUAUAAGCAAAAUAAAGUGCAAAUUUUAAAGGUUGUCGUUUCGAAAUACUCUUUGAAAGAGUAUUUUGCCUAACUUCUGAAUGAGUUUGUUCAUUUACAUGAAAAAUUCUAGAUUCUCUCAUAUUAUUGAGCUAGAAGAAGACAGUACUGGAUUUUUCCAUAAGUUGGCAUUACAGCUGCAAAUGUUGCUAGCUACUUACAAGGCAAAACAGCAUGCACCUAAAUCUUUUUCAUGCGCGAGAUAAUUUUAAUGUGUACGAAAAAAAAUAGAUCCCGCCAUCGAAUGAAUGAAUGAAUGAAGCGGGAGGCCUAGACUGAGACCAGCUGAUGAGAACAUGUAUACAUACAUAUAUGGACAAAUAAAGUGAGGGACCCAACUCCAUGAGAAUCCCAAUCCCAAUGAUCUUAAUUAUUAUUGGUCCUUAAUAAAUAAAUGUUCAAGAAGCGUCCACAUCGACCAUAUGCCCCGCUACAUCUGCGCGUACGAGCACUGCCAUCUCUAAUCUUAAAAUGGUACCUCUUCAGAUUCCGAAAUAGCAUGGUUACAGGAGAUACGUACACACAGUAAUUAAAACAAAAAAUUUAAAAAAAAAUAAAUAUAUAUAUAUAUAUAAGGUAAUGAGAAAACUUUAAAUACUCUCCUGUAGUUUCACACUUUUUCACUUUAGUAUUUUGUGGCUUAAAAUAUAUUAAGUUAGUACUUAGUACCCUGUGGUUUCGCACUUUCUCACUUUAAUAUCCUGUGGUUUAAAGUGUAUCAAGUUAGUACCAUGUGCUUUCGCACUUUCUCACUUUAGUAUCCUGUGAUUUAAUAUAUAUUUCGUUAAAUUAUAUGCAAAAAACUUCAGAUAUCCUAUCUACCUUUAUCGUAUAUUCAAUUUAGUGUCAUUUAGUUUUAACUUUGUUACUGAUUUAACAAAAAAAAAAAAUCCCGAAAUGGAUAAUAAAAAGAGAUAAAUAAAACUAUAUGGUACUAACUUGAUACAAAAAUGAAAUCAUAUAAUACUGACUUGACAUACUUUAAACCAUAGAGUACUAAAGUGAAAAAAUGCGAAACCACAGGGUACUAACUCGAUAUAUUUUAAAUCACAGGAUACUAAAGUGGAAAAAAGCGCAAUCAGAGGGAGGUUUUUGAAGUUUUCCCUUAGGUAAUUAGUUAAUUCGUGCAGGGGCAUUUUGGGGAACACGUGACACGCUAUGUGUAUUAUUAUCCCGGCACGCUCCCAUCAAAAGCCCAAACUUUUCUUUUUCCCUCUCGCUUUUUCUCGGGGCAAAUUACAUGGGUAGUCCCUUUACUCUUUUUAUUUUGCAGUUUAGUUCCGAAGAUUUUUACUUCAGCCCUUUAGCAUUCUUGUGUAGUUUUUGCGAGAUCUAGUAAGAUUUAGAUGUUCUAAUACCGCGAAGAAUAGCAAUAAAACUUUGGAAUCGAAAAGUAUAAAAAAUUUACCUUUUAAAUUCAGAACAUAAGAUAAAAGACUCAUCUAUGUAAUAUGUGUUUCACUGAAAGUGGAGAUGAACGAAAUAAUUUUUGUCAACUCUUCAUAUAGCGUAAUCGAAGUAAAUUUUAUCUAAAUUCUAAUUUACCUGAAAAUUUACUUCAACUUUAAUUUCACGUGCAGCGAAAUAAACAGAAUGAGGCAAACAGGGUCCUAAGACCAUUUAUGCAUUUUACACUCUACAAUAUUUUAUUCCAAAUCUCUUUAACCAAUUCCCCUUUAUUAAAGUUUAAACUCCCCCCUUCCCCCUUCCUCCUCUCUUCCAUUAUAAAAACACUACAUAGGAGAGCAAAAUAAAAGUGUGUGUAAACAAGAGAGAGAGAGAGAGAGAGAGAGAGAGAGAGAGAGAGAGGUGCAUAAAUGGCUACAUUAGCAUCAGUUGGAUCUUUGGUUCUCUUGGUGAUGGUCACAGUUCUAGGGAGUUUUGCGAGCUCCGUGGCGGCGUCGGACCGCGUGAGGGGGCUCCCCGGGCAACCGGCGGCGAGCUUUCGACACUACGCCGGAUACGUCGACGUCGGCCCCGGCGAAGAGAAGGCGCUUUUCUAUUGGUUCUUUGAAGCACAAGAACGCCCCGAGGAGAAGCCCCUCCUCCUCUGGCUCAAUGGAGGUUUGGGCAAUUCCUCAAUUUCCUUUUUUUUCUUUUUUUUAUUCACUACAUAUAUAAAAAUAAAACUGUUUAUUUCUCUAUCAUUUUCGACUACAGAACAUUCGAUUCGACAAUUGGCGCCUGUUACCCAUCAUGUCAAACUCAGAUGAUUAUAGAAUGAGUAAAUUUGUAUUUUUUAGAAAGAAUUUGCGACCGCGUGCUUUCAACAAAUGAUGCACUUAUGAGUAUAUCGUGUUUUAUAUUUUACUAUCUUCGAUUUUGAAAAAAAUUGUAGAUAUAUACCUUGUCAAUAUUUAUGCGGUAAUAUCUUUUAACCCUUCUUAUAAUUUUAUUGUCACCAAAAUGUUAGAUAAUUCUAAAGUAUAAUUUCAAAGGCGAACUACAUACAUCUUAUCCAUGAAGAAAAUAAUAUCCAGAUAAUUUUUAAAGCUCGUUUUGACAUAUAAUUUAUCUAGUCAAAUUCAGACCCCAAAUGGUAAUCACAGUUAAUAUUAAUAUUAGGAUGCGUUUCGUUCGUAUUAUGAAAGAUUACUAAGAAUAAAAAAUAUCCGAGAAUUUUAUUUCUAUUCAUCAUAUUACUAAGAAUGUGGAAUUCCUGUGUUUGGUUCGCACGGUAAUAUUAAUUAGUCAUUUAUUUAAUAUUAUAAAAAAUAUAAAAUUUAUUUAUUUAUUUAUUUAUUUAAUUUUAGAUAAUGUUACUAAAAGUUUCAACAUCUUUUUAGAAAAAAGGGAGAGAAAGUAUAAACUAGAGGAAGAUAGCAUAAUUUAAAAAAUAGAAAGAAAAAUAUAGUCGAAACUAGAGAGAGUGAGAAAGUUGAAAUUUUAGAAAGAGAAAGAGAAAGAGAAAGCUUAGUUUAGAGAGAGAAAAAAAAAUUGAAUUUUGGAGAGAAAAAUAAGUUUAGAAAGAGAUAUAAAGUUAGAGUGUAAAGAAAAAUAAUAUUAAUUAGCCGGUGGGUAAAAAGAAAGAAAGUGAUUAGACAUAUUAUGAUUAUCCCAAUCCAUUAAUAUGAGAAUACCCAUUCUCUCUCAAGGGAAUGAGAUUAGUACUUUGGAGUGAAUCUUAUUUCCAAGUGAAUCCAAUAUUACCAAUUAGAUUACUUAGUGCGUUUAGCCAAACACCGUCAUAUUUUUUUAUUCCCAUUGGAUUACUAAGAAUCUUUAAAAAAUAACGCGAACCAAACGCACCCUUAAUAUUAUCUUAAUUUGUUCAUAUCAUUUUUCCCAUGUAGUGACUUAGAGGCUAAUCUCAAAAAUCUUUUCCAUGCUUCUCGGCGCGAGGAGCCAAUAGAAUACAAGUUUUGAAGAUAAUUAUUACCAAAAUAAAAAAAAAAAAAGUCAGAAAUUAGUCUUUGUACUCUUACUUAUAUGGAUAGUGGAUACCAGUUAUGCUACGUAUCUGAAUGAAAAUGUAUUAAAAGAAACAACAUAAUAUAGACAUGGAUAUGUACAAUAAAAUGGAGAGAUUUUAGAUCUGACUCUGAUACUAUAUUAUUUACAAGAUCAAAAUGACUAGCAAAUUAAUUUUUUUAAUAUAUAUAUAUAUAGGGAGAGAAGUAUCCAUAGUGUACCUCUAGAGACAGAUGAGAAGGUCCAACCUGUGUAAAAAAGUGUGUUAUCAAAAACAGAGAUAAAGCUUCCAUCCUCAACAGUGUGAUUUUGUUUACUCUCCUACAUGUUGGACUGGAUCUUUAAUUACACUUUAUUGGUGUCUACUCAUUUUCACACUUUAUUUUUGUCUCCCCCACUGUUUUGCAUGCUUGUGUGUGUGUAUAUAUAUAUAUAUAUAUAUAUGUAUGUGUGUGUGUGUGUGUGUGUCCAAUGAAGAGAGAGAGAGAGAGACAAAUAUAAAGACAAAGUUCAAAAAUGAAAACAAAUAGAUAGGUCUCUGUUUCUUCAUUAGGUCUAUGGAGUCAUUAAAGUCCAAAUUAAAUGUCAUAGAUGUUGGGCUACCAUUAGACAAAGAGUAAAGCUAUUCAGGUCACAUGUCAAAAAUGUCUUCUCAUCCUGUUAUUAACUGUUUCCCUUUUUUUUUUUUUUUUUUUGGCCCUCCAUUUAGUUGUAUCUUUUCUUAUUUAAAAAUGAUCUUCAAGAAAAGAUAAAAUAUUUUGAUAGCCACAUAAUUUUCGAAAACAUUUCCAUUUUUUUUGAAGGCCAAAAGAUUAUAACAUGUAUAACAACUGUAAGACACACGAUGAUUUUCUGUGAUGAUGAUUGAUUUAUAGUUUAUGUAAUGCAGGACCGGGAUGCUCGUCGGUAGCAUACGGGGCCGCGCUGGAACUGGGUCCGUUUCUGGUUCGAUCCACUGGUCCAAAUCUCACACUCAAUCCCUACUCCUGGAACAAGGGCAAGCAUAAACUCUCAUUCCCACAAUUAAACCCUUCUUGCUAGGUUAAAGUUUUCUUUUUCUAUUUCUACUUAAUCUCUCUCUAAUCCUUUGUUAAUAAUAUUUCCUUUUCUUUAUAUUGAAACUCGUACAUUACAGCUGCGAAUCUUUUGUUCGUGGAAGCUCCGGUCGGAGUCGGCUUCUCGUACACGAAUCGAACAUCGGAUUUGAAGGAGCUCGGAGAUAAUGUUACGGCGCAAGAUUCGUAUAGAUUUCUUUUAAAUUGGUUUACAAAGUAUCCAAAUUUGAAGUCUCACGAUUUCUAUAUAGCUGGAGAGAGCUAUGCAGGUUGAUGAAAUUACAAAAGUUUAAUUUUAAGUGUAAAAAUACUCUCUUUCUUUUCCCCUUUGAAGUAUAUGUAUAUAUAAUUAUAAUGUAGCACUAAUCUUUUCAUGCAUUUUUUUUUUUUUUUUUUUUUUUUGUGUAGGGCAUUAUGUUCCACAGCUUGCUCAGCUUAUAUAUGAAGAAAAUAAAAAGGCCACAAAAGACAAAUAUAUCAACUUGAAAGGUUUUAUGGUAAGCCAUUUAAUGAGCAAAUUCUUUGUUAUAAGAUGUAGAGAGAGAGAGAGAGAGAGAGAGAGAACCUCAAAAAACAUAAAAAGGAAAAGAAAGAUUUUAAAAAAAAUUGAAAAAGAAGAUUCCAAAGAAAAAGUAAAGGUGAAAGAAUAUUCGUGUGCUUUCACUCACUCUUUUUCUUUUUCUUCUCCAAAGAAGGGAAAAAGAAGAAGACGAAGAAGAGGAACUUCACCUUUUAAUUAGGGUUGUAUCAGAGUGAAAUGGAUAUAUAAUUAGCCUGAUGUCUAAAUAUUUUGAGUUCUAAAAUGUUACUAUGGUGGCAAUUUAUUCUGAAGCUGUUCAUGAUCAAAUAGUAUAAUCUUCGAAUUUAAAUUGUACUUUUGCUAUAGCUAAACGAUAUUUGACAAGUCAUUAGUGUUUUAUAUAUAACCUAGCCUAUUCAAAUAGCACUUCUGUAAAAACUUCAAUAAAAUAAAUGACCGUUCCUCUCUUCUACAUGACCGCAGAUAGGCAAUGCUGUGCUGAACGACGCAACCGAUCAGCUGGGGAUGGUGGAAUACGCAUGGAGCCACGCGAUAAUAUCCGACGAGCUGUACUCGACGGUGCGAAAAGAGUGCGACUCAUUCAAGGAGGAGGCGGAGGGGGGGAAGCCCCGCAAGGGAUGCUCACCAGCCGUCAAAGCAUUCCUCCAAGCCUACGAUGACAUCGACAUCUACAGCAUCUACACCCCCGUCUGCCUCUCCUCCCUUUCCCAGUCUCCCCGCGGCUCCUCCGAUCUCCUCGCAGCCCCACGCCUCUUCUCUCAACAAGUACGCAUCAUGCAUAUUGAUUGGUCAUUAUUUCUACUCGCUUUAACUAGUUCUUUUAAGUAGUAGUUAGAAGACUGACAAAUAACAUACUCAAAGGGUUUGUAGUGGCGUAUAUAAAGCUGAAAUACGCUUUUUAAGACUGAGAAAUAGAAAAUCCACUUAAUUUAAAGAUCCUAAAACUGUUGUAGGUGAAAAUUGUAAGAAGGAUCUUAACAAAAAAAACGAUUAAUACUUCUUUCAGAAGUUCUAAUAAAUUAAACAAUAUUCAUAUAGAAUUUUUGGGCCAAACAAACCCUUAGAUGAGCUUAGCUGGGAUACUUUUAUAAAUGCGGAGAUCUCCAUGUUCUAAGUUAAUAUUUUCAAUAAUAGAACUUUCGAAUCGAUAAUCAACUAUGUAAGACUUGGUUCAGAUUUUUUGAAAUAUCUGAAAAUAGACUUUUGUGAUUUUUUGAUAUCAUUUAACUAGUAAUCGAAAGAACUCAAAAUCAAUAGCUAAAAAUUAAAAUAUCGUAAAAAGUGAUGGUGCGAUACUAAAAUUUUAGAUCAAAUAUAUUGAUCUUACAUUAGAUAGUGUAAAAAAUUUUCUACCAAAAUUUUACCUAAUAUGAAUAUUUAUACACUAUUACUAAACUUGCAACUGGUUCACGUAGGCCAUUAAGUUGUUGAUUUUGAGCCUUUUCAAUUAAGUAAAUAAUAUUGAAAAGUUAUAAAAUUUAUUUUCUAAAUGCUUCAUAUAUACUAAAUUAAGUCUAACGUAGUUAAUCGUCGAUUCAAAAGCCUCGUAAUCGAAAACAACUUAAAAGCACGAAGUACCCCAACUGGACUCCCCUUAGAUCUAGUACUCUCACUACUACUCCACACUAGUAAAGAGAACACUGAUUAUAAGAAGAAGAGUUAUGCAGUGAGGUUAAGUUUGGUGAUGAUAAUAAAACUGAUCUACAGGAGGUGUGGAGGCAUAGAAUGAGGAAGAUCCCUGCAGGAUAUGAUCCAUGCAUGGAGGACUACGUGAGGGCUUACUUCAAUCGCGAGGACGUGCAGAGAGCGCUGCACGCCAACCUGACCCACCUCCCCUACCCAUUCUCUCCUUGCAGGUACCCUCCUCAUUCUCAUUAACAUACAUAGAUUAAUACUCUCAUUCACGUACACGAUAAAUAUAGUAGGCACGUAAAAUUAACAGAUGAGAUAGAAUAUGAGAUGAAACUUUAACUUGUUAAAUACUAAAGAUAGCUAGGUACUGAAUCCACAACUUCACAGAAUUAAAGGGUUUAGAAUCAGCUCUGACGCUAUGUUAUCAGAAAGAUCUUUUACUAGAAAAUAAAUCCAGAAAUAUAUACUAACAAUCGUGUGCUACAUUAUUGCGACCCAAAUGUUCAUGCAAAGGUUAAUUUGAAACUAAUAAACAUGCGCAUUCUCCAUGCGAUUAUUCAAAAGAGAUCAAUCUCUGAGGAUAUAAACUUGUAACAACAAAUGUUAAUUAAGUUUGGUCAUUAUUUACUGGCUAAAUAUUGUUAAGAGUUUUUUUGACAUUUUCUGAUAGAUUUGAUUCGAAAACUCUUUAAAGUCCAAAGUCCUGACUCUAUGAUCAUUUAAUAACAGAAACUACUGUUUUCACUUUGGUCAAUUACGUAUGCAGUUUAGUUACACUGUUCCAAACUACUUCUGAGUCGUUUCCUAAUGCGACAAACAAGAGUAGAUUCAGUAAUUUUGAUAUCCAAGCCAAGUAAAUGUCACAUUUCCGUAUGUGUUAUAUAUUUAUUAAUCUGCUUAUUCUGACACGUGAUUGGUCAGUGCUAUGAAUUCACAAUCUGUGUACCCUGUGCCCCUGUAGACGCAUUUAUUCCUAUGAGUGCUAUAUAUAUAUAUAUAUAUAUAUACACACACACACACACACACACACACACACACACACACACACACACACACACACACACAUACACACACACACAACAUUGCAUGCACAAUUACUUAUGAAGCCCACUAAUUAAAUGGUCCUUUAAUGCUUUUGACUGUCUCAUAUAUUCUGCCUUGUGAGAGCAAUUUGCAUGCAUGCAUGCUGUCCAAUGAAUCCACCUCGACCGAGAACCUCCCGGAUUUCUCUACCACCAUUAAUUGAUUCCAUCCCCCUCUCCCUCUUAAAAGCCCUUCCCCUCAAUUUGUCCUCUCCUGUAUUUAUUAUUGUUAGAUAUUUAUUUCUAAGCCAAUUUGUUCUAAAUAUACAUAUUCUCCUGUAAAUUCAUCAAUGUCCAUAUGCGAAAAUGAGAAUGUUAAAUAUAUUUCUGAACUCGUUACCUACUCGAUCACUAUACUACAAUAACUUUAUUAUAUCAUCAACUUAAUAGCAUCAAAAAUUAGAUUAUUAUAAAUUAUAUUUUGUUGUAAUAGUUUGUUCCGUUGUGAUAAUUAAAUAUUAUCAAGUAAGUUUCUUUUUAAUAAGAUCCAACUCUUCUUCUUCUUACUUAAUUACUAACGCACCUUAUAAUAUAUGUGCUCUCCAAUCAAUAUAUAGAUGUAGAUUAGGACCAAACACGAAUGGAUAAAAUGAUUCAAAAUUUCUGAAGAAAUCUAUUUGUUAUCUGAUUAAAGAUUUUAUGUUCUAGUUCGACCAAGAACACAAUGCCAAUCAGAAUCAUCACCCCUAAUGCAAAUAUAUUACUCUGAGAAAAAAAGAAAAAAGAAAAAAAAUGUAUAUGUAUAUGUACACAUAUAUGUACGUAUAUAUAUGUUCUUUUUGAGGUUAAUAAGAAGAAAUUUGUUCUUUCUUUGUGGUGCAGCGAAGUAAUACGAAAAUGGAACGAUUCGCCUUCCACUGUCCUGCCCAUACUCAAGAAGCUCAUAAAUGCCGGACUCCGCAUUUGGGUUUACAGGUACUAAACCAUAUCAUGAUCAGCGAUACCAACUUAACAUGAUCAUAUAUAUAUAAAGUUGUACUGGAAUGCUAUUAAUAUGCAGUACUAUUCACUUUGUGACCCUUAAAUGACUAGGGUUAAGUGGGUGGUUGGUGUAAUAAUAAUGAUCUAAGUGUCAAAAAAUAGAUAGUAUGUACUAUUAAUAGUAUCUUAACUGGAAUUAUAUAUAUAUAUAUAUAUAUAUAUAUAUAUAUAUAUNACAUAAUGACCGACUAUAUAUAUAUAUAUAUAUAUAUAUAGCUGAUUAACCCCACAGGUGAAUUUGUCUUUUUUUGUCAUUUUUUUUUUAUUUUGAACUCAUUGAUUUGGUGUUUGAAGCGGGGACACCGAUGGUAGGGUUCCGGUGACGUCGACGAGGUACAGCAUCAACAAGAUGAAGCUCCAUGCCAAGAAGAAGGGAAAGGGGAAAGGAGAUGAAUGGGGAGGGUGGAGGGCAUGGUACUACAAGGAGCAGGUCGGGGGUUGGGUGGUGGAGUACGAAGAGGGCCUUGCGUUCGCCACCGUGCGCGGCGCGGGCCACCAGGUCCCAGUCUUCGCCCCGGCCCCGGCCCUCUCCCUCCUCUCCCACUUCCUUGCGGGGCGAUCUCUCCCCGCGUCGCGCUCCACAUGAUCAUACAAUACUAGUAAACCAUGAAAACUACACAAGCUACGUACGUGCAUGCAUGCGUGCACGCAUGCAUUGCAUGGCAUUGUCGACGAGCUAGUGUGUGCUCAUGCGAGUACGUACUUGGAGAUUGUGGUGUGAGUUUAUUAAUCUGUAAUGAGAUUGAAAGAUAAACUCGAUUAAUUGUUUAAUUGCGCAUUGUAAUUGUAUUGUGAUUGGUUUCUGCAAACACACAAGGAAUUUUUUACACUUUCAUAUACGCAUGCCUCUCGAAAUACACUUAAUCAUUUGCAAACAAAAAGUUUCAGUUUGCAUCUAAUGCAUCUAUGGCGCCCUUGAUGAGUUAAUUCGAAAAAUACGAAUAUUCGUAUUAUUUUACACCUUAAAAAUAAUUUGUAUUUGCACUUAUUUAUACUGAAAAUGGUGUCAGAAGCGGAGGGCAUAUAAGAAAAAAGCUGUAAAGUUACAAAUAUAAAUUUUCAAAUAUGAUUAUUUUUAUGGGCCAACAUGCAUGCAUAGACAUAAAUCAUAACUUUCUCAAAGGUUAAAAAAUACAUAUUUUUCAACUAGCAUAUAAGCAAAAAAAUGAAAAUGAAAAAAUGUAACAAGCUCAAGGACUAGUUUGUUUGCUCAUCUCUUUUUUUUUUCUCUCUCUUUUACUUUACAUUAUCUUUUCAUGAGUGAGGCUACUAUGCUAUCGAAAGCACGGAGCCUUCCGUGUUUCCAGCUCGUUUUCGAUGUUGCGACUUUCGAAUCGUCGAUCGGCUCCGUUAAACUUGAUCUAGAGUAUUUGGAGUACCUAGAAAAUAAAUUUUAUUAUUUUUCGAUAUCAUUUGCCUAGUGAUCGAAUGGUCUCAAAAUCAACAAAUUUCAAUGGCCGUAGUGAGCCGUUUGCAAGUUUAACGGUGUAGAAAUAUCCAAAUCACGUAAAAUUUUGAUAGAAAAUUCUUUAUACUAUAUAAAAUAAGAUCAAUAUCUUUGAUUUAAAAUUUUAAUAUCAUAUUAUUAUAUUUUGUAAGAUUUUUAUUUUCAGCCGUUGAUUUUGAGCCCCUUCGUUCACUAGGCAAAUGAUAUCGUAAAAUCAUAAAAUUUAUUUUCUAGAUACUUCAAAUACUCUAGAUCAAGUUUAACGGAACCGAUCGAUGAUUCGAAAGUUGCAACAUCGAAGGCUCCGUGCUUCCAGAAGCAUAGUAGCUUCACUCAUAUUUUCAUUUGUCUUUUACUUAACC
rnacentral:lncRNA from 1 species